CAAGCUCAGCAAAGAGUAUUUCUCAGCUAUUUAGAAAUAUCUACAAAACCUUUGUUAUAUGUGAGCUGAGUGUUUUUUUUUCUAAAGCGCCGAACAAUCCUUUGUUUGAAUCUCCGCUUUGUCCCCUAGAAUCCUUAAAACAUCAUUUCCAUUAAUAAAGUCUUGUUAUCUCCAUUUUCCCGCUUGGAGUAGGAUUCAAUGUGGUUUCUUUCUCUUCUUAACAUGUUUUUCAAAAAUGUUUAAAAAAAAAUUUGAUGCUGGAUAAUUAUAUUAUUACAAACUAUGAAAAAUAUUUGACAGAUUACUUGUAAGUUUUUUUCACUUAAUUUACAUAAUUUAACCUUUUUCAGAAAUCGAAAUUCAGACUUACUAUUGUAAAAACAUUAAUAAACUAUUAGUGAUCAAGAGGAUUCAUUACCCCUUCUAUAAUUAAGGUUUUCGCCACCAUACAACCCUUUUAAUGAAAUCAGAAGGUUGACAAAAAAGAUCAGAGGGCCCACCACCUUUUUCUUCACUCGUUAGAAUAUUUUCUUCUAUCGGUACUUUAUUCGUGGAUUGUAGGUAAAUCUCCACCUGGCUGGUAACAUUAUCAUCAUCAUCAUGGGGUAUUUGACUAUUGGAGAAAAAUCAUGAUUAAAAACAAUAAACCAAUUUCCAAAAAGGUCUUACAAAGGUUUUUUGAUAAUAAAAAGUUUUGUUUGUAAGAAUAGACAUGGCGAUUAAGAAUGAUCUGAGAACAGCUUGUUCCAUAAUAGCAAUUUGACUGGCAAAAGAGAUGAAAGCUGUGCUCUAGUCUCCUUAGUUCUCUGCUUGCAAAGAAGCUGAAGAGAAGAAAAAAACACUGAAACUGCGAUCCAACGUGAAGAUAACCAUAGAUUUUUGUUACUAAAUUAUCAGUUAGAUCUAAUUACCUUUAACGGAUGCUGGAUCGUCUUGUGGCCUCAUUGCCGGGAAGAGAAUAACCUCCUGCAACAUUUUAUCAGUUCAGUUCAUGAGUUUAGCCUGAAAGAUUUAAUAAUCAUUAGCAGAGAAUUGAGAUAAAGAGACUGACCUUGAUGUUUUGUGAGUCAGUGAACAGCAUGGCAAGCCUAUCUAUCCCCAAUCCCCAACCACCUGUUGGAGCCAAUCCGUAUUCUAAAGCAUUGCAGAAAGUCUCAUCUAAGGCCAUCGCUUCAUCGUCUCCCGACUGUCUAUCCUUGAGUUGAUCAGCAAACCUUUGACGCUGAACCACAGGAUCGUUCAGCUCGGUGUAGGCGUUGCAAAGCUGUGCUCAAGUUUAUAAUAUGUUAGUGAAACAAAGUAUUAAGAAAAGAUGUGUGAUGUGAUGUGAUGGAAUCAGAUUGGUAAUUAGCUUUUUACUUCAUCUUUGUUGAUGAACAGCUCGAAUAUCUCAGUCAGAACACUGUUCGAUCUAUGCCAUUUCGCCAAGGGAGACAUGAUCUCGGGAUGGUUGAUGAUGAAAGUUGGGUUGACACAUGUCACUUCCAGAAACUCUCCAACAAGCUGCAAGAAGAGACAACAUAUCAGAUUCUAGUUUCCUAUGCACACAUACAUGGAAGAGGGGAACUGAAGAUUUUACGAACUUUAUCUAGAAGACGAGCUGUAGGCUGAGGAGGUGGACAUUUCACGUCGAAUACUUGUUGGCUUCUUCGCUAGCCAAGUCCUUUGGAAUAUUGAGGUUAGCCACCUUCUCUAGCUCUCCUAUCAUCUCAAUCCUCCUACAGUUACCACAUAUAAGCUUUUAAAAAAAAACUCAUUAAGGGUGUAUUAGGAAAUGAAAAAAAGACCACUUGAACUACCUCAUAUUUCGCAUAUCAUUUCAAAUUUCAAUAUACUUCCCCGACUUCUUUUUUUUUUGUUAACUACUUCCCCGACUUCUAAUACGAAGCAAUAAAGCAAAUAUUAGUUUCUCCCUACUUCUCUGUACGGUAACCUUCCCCUACUUUUUUUUUUUCAACUUUGAUAGAUUAUUUUUAAUGUUAAAAACAUUAAAAGACGACAACCAAAUAUAUAAGUAAUAUAAGAAACUAAAUAUACGACUACAUUUGUAUAGGCACAUAAGCACUAGCCACCUAAUAUACUAUAAACAUAUAAUAUUCAAAUCUUUAUUUGAAUUUCUAUUUUUCUCCUCCGUGAGAUUUUUUUUUAACUAAUGUUUAAUACCAAAUGAAAACAUUGGCUAAGAUAAGAUACUAUACAACUAAAUAUUUUUUACCGGAUCGGCCGGUCACGAUUAAUAGCAUGUUUUUGGAAUUUAUCAGAUUUUUAAUUAGUGGCGUUUUUAUAAAAUUUGAAACGGAUUGUAGAUGUGUUACUGGAUUUAUCGGUUCGUCUACGAAUCGAAUAUAAAAAUAUUCUUAUAUUUUAAUUCGUCUAUAAGCUAUAUAUGUAUCCCACUAAAAUUAGUUAAAUAAUAGGUACAAAUAAAACGCUUUUCUGCACCAUUUAAAUGUAGAUAAAGUAUUAGGUCUCAUCUGAAAAGGCCAUCCAAGUAGAGGUUCCCAUAGUUAGGCGCGGUCCGACUAUCCGGAGUGGAACCAGGGCCUUGCGAGAAGGUUUCACCAAGGCUGUCCAACAAAUCCUUGAUCGAGACGGACAGACUGACCAGGACCAGCUACUGAUUGAGGAGAUGGUCCAGUUGAAGAUUCAAGAUCAAGGCGGCACAACGGAGGUUCAGGACGCAGCCGGCCCGAUCCAGUUCAGACUCAACCAAGCCGGACGACUCAUUUCCACAUCCGAGCUUGGGCCAGAUUCCAUUUCCAUUCCAUCCACUCCGACUCUUCCUGGUUUUGAGAACUAGCCAACAUCAGAAGGAGUAGUAUGCUGUUGUACUCUUUUUCCUUAUCGGGUUUUGUCCCACUGGGUUUUCCCGAAAAGACCAGGAGUCAUUGAAGAAACAUUGGAGAAGCUGCAAGUCAUCCGAGCAAACAUGAAGAAGGCACAUGAUCGACAAAGAAGAACGCGGAUCAAAGAAGGCGAGAAGUAGUAUUUGCAGUUGGAGAUAUGGUCUAUCUCAAGGUAUCAGCUCAGAAAGGAAAGGAUCAUUUCGGCAAAGUUGGGAACCAAUCCUAUCCUUUUACUUUUGUCAUUUGCUUGGUUCAUCCUCUUGUUAGUUUAAAAAAAAAAAAAAAAAAAUUUUGCACUUGUUCUUGCUGUUCUUGGCGAGUUCAAACUGGUUUUGCUUGCAUAUCUUUUGAUCCAUUUUUUGUGCAUCCAUCAUUCUAGCAACUCGUUUUUGGCAUCCAUCGAUUUCUACUUUCCUUUUUGAUCAGAUUUUCAUUUAAUUGCAUUUAAUUUACUUGGCUUGCACUUUAAGUUUUCCCAUAUUUAUAAAAAAAAAAAAAAUUAUUGUACUUUCCAUGUUUUAAAUUUUCGAUUUCUUAUCUUUCCAUUCUCAAAAAAAAAAAAAAUUUUACAUUCAUUGCAUGCCUUAGUUAGAUAUUCUUUCAUUCCUCUUUGAUUCUUUGCAAAUCACCUUUUUCUUUUUUUUCUUUUCCUCUCUGGUCGCAGGAGACAUGGGCGACCUAGAUGGAGCACCAACACAAGCCGAGAUCAAUGCUCAGCUGUUAGGUAACCAUGCUGAACUCCAAGCCACACUGGCCACGGUGACUGAGCAGCUGGCUCAGAUAACAGGGAGAAACCGAGCUAAUGCUCCACAGCCAAGGAGGAGAAACCAACCCAUUCCAGAAGAGCAACAAUCCCAAUCCAGUGAGGACAACUCGGACACUGACCGUACCGAACCGGACGAGCCGCGGUACGAACGGGCUGGGCGUGGGAACCGGCGGGAGUAUCGGGUCCAAGGCGAUGGAAGCCCGAUCCGUAGGAGAUUCCGAGAUGAAGAGGUCGCUUGGCAAGGAGGCAAGGAUCUCAAACUUACUCCUCCAACCUUUGCUGGAAAGGUCGACCCGGACGCUUACAUCGAAUGGGAGAAGCGCAUGGAGUACAUCUUUGAGUACUACCGCUAUACCGAGGCAAGAAGAUCGCCCUAGCCGCAGCACAGCUGACGGACAAUGCCCUAACUUGGUGGGACAAGGAAGUAGCCGAGGUUGGCAGGGUCUAUAGGAUCGAGACUUGGAAUGAGAUGCGAGCUAAACUCCGAGCAAGGUAUAUUCCCUCUUACUAUCAGCGGGACUUACUAAAACGUUUUCGCAAGUUGUCUCAGGGUACUAGGACCGUGGAGGAAUACUUUGAAGAGUUCGAGGCUCUCAAGAACAAGCUCAGGACGCGCGAAACCGAAGAAGUUAUGAUGGCACAGUUCUUGGAAGGUCUUCAAGACCGCAUCGCUCGCAAGGUGGAGAGGCAGACUUACGUCAACUUCAACGAUCUCCUCCACUAUGCCGUCCAGGCCGAGCAGCACAUUAGGAGGAAGAACGCCUCUAGUGCCAGGAACAAGACGCCAUGGGCUCCAUCCGGAUCCAAAGGAGCUGAGAAAAACAAGUCCGUUGAAGUGGACAGCCGGUUCAAGAAGAACCAAUCCGACCAGUCCAAGCAAGGCUCAUCCGAACCAGGUAAGGGACCUAGAUCGGCCAACUCCCUCUCCAUCGCGUCCGCCUAGCCGCUCCGUAGCCCUCAGUCCGACCUGUCCCGUCCAUCCAUAGCCCUCGGUCCGACCUGUCCAGUCCGAGUUCUUGAACCUCUGGCCGACCAUUUGGACAACCUGAAUCCCAGCCUGUAUCAUUUUGGUAUCAGAGCACAAAGCUCCUACACCUACGGUUGUAUCCUAUCCUUUUACUUUUGUUAUUCACAAAAAAAAAAAUUGCACUUGUUCUUGCUGUUCUUGGCGAGUUCAAAACUUGUUUUGUUUGCAUAACUUUUGAUCCAUUUUUGUGCAUCCAUCAUUCUAGUAACUUGUUUUUGGCAUCCAUCGAUCUCUACUUUCCUUUUUGAUCAGAUUUUCAUUUAAUUGCAUUUAAUUUACUUGGCUUGCACUUUAAGUUUUUCCAUAUUUAUAAAAAAAAAAAAAAUUAUUGUACUUUCCAUGUUUUAAAUUUUCGAUUUCUUAUCUUUCCAUUCUCAAAAAAAAAAAAAAUUUUACAUUCAUUGCAUGCCUUAGUUAGAUAUUCUUUCAUUCCUCUUUGAUUCUUUGCAAAUCACCUUUUUCUUUUUUUUCUUUUCCUCUCUGGUCGCAGGAGACAUGGACGACCUAGAUGGAGCACCAACACAAGCCGAGAUCAAUGCUCAGCUGUUGGCUAACCAUGCUGAACUCCAAGCCACACUGGCCACGGUGACUGAGCAGCUGGGUCAGAUAACAGGGAGAAACCGAGCUAAUGCUCCACAGCCAAGGAGAAGAAACCAACCCAUUCCAGAAGAGCAACAAUCCCAAUCCAGUGAGGACAACUCGGACACUGACCGUACCGAACCGGACGAGCCGCGGUACGAACGGGCUGGGCGUGGGAACCGGCGGGAGUAUCGGGUCCAAGGCGAUGGAAGCCCGAUCCGUAGGAGAUUCCGAGAUGAAGAGGUCGCCUGGCAAGGAGGCAAGGAUCUCAAACUUACUCCUCCAACCUUUGCUGGAAAGGUCGACCCGGACGCUUACAUCGAAUGGGAGAAGCGCAUGGAGUACAUCUUUGAGUACUACCGCUAUACCGAGGCAAGAAGAUCGCCCUAGCCGCAGCACAGCUGACGGACAAUGCCCUAACUUGGUGGGACAAGGAAGUAGCCGAGGUUGGCAGGGUCUAUAGGAUCAAGACUUGGAAUGAGAUGCGAGCUAAACUCCGAGCAAGGUAUAUUCCCUCUUACUAUCAGCGGGACUUACUAAAACGUUUUCGCAAGUUGUCUCAGGGUACUAGGACCGUGGAGGAAUACUUUGAAGAGUUCGAGGCUCUCAAGAACAAGCUCAGGACGCGCGAAACCGAAGAAGUUAUGAUGGCACAGUUCUUGGAAGGUCUUCAAGACCGCAUUGCUCGCAAGGUGGAGAGGCAGACUUACGUCAACUUCAACGACCUCCUCCACUAUGCCGUCCAGGCCGAGCAGCACAUUAGGAGGAAGAACGCCUCUAGUGCCAGGAACAAGACGCCAUGGGCUCCAUCCGGAUCCAAAGGAGCUGAGAAAAACAAGUCCGUUGAAGUGGAAAGCCGGUUCAAGAAGAACCAAUCCGAUCAGUCCAAACCAGGCUCAUCCGAACCAGGUAAGGGACAAACUCCAGCCCAAAGAACCCGUGAUAUUACUUGUUUCAAAUGUCAGGGGAAGGGGCACUACGCCAGGGACUGUCCGAACAAGCGUGUCAUGAUCCUUAAGGCGGACGGCGAGUAUGAGUCCCAAGACGAGGUCGAUGUAGGGUCGGCUGAAUCAGGAGAUGAGAUAGUGGACUAUGCUGAGACUGGUGAGCUACUGGUGGUCAGACGAGCUCUCAGUGCUCUCUUUGAUCCAGAGACCGUCCAACGAGAGAACAUCUUCCAUACGAGGUGUAGCGUGGAGGGCAAGGUAUGUAGUCUAAUUAUUGAUGGUGGCUCUUGCACUAAUGUGGCCAGCAGGUACCUUGUUGACAAGUUAGGGCUAGCAAAGUCGCCACACCCCAGGCCAUACAAGCUUAAAUGGCUCAAUGAUGAGACGGAGCUUAAAAUCUCGGAGCAAGUUGUUGUGCCCUUUUGUAUUGGUAAGUACCAGGACCAGGUGAAGUGUGAUGUGGUUCCUAUGCAAGCCGGACAUCUGCUGUUAGGGAGGCCUUGGCAGUUUGACAAGGAUACCAUUCACCAUGGAAGGACUAACACCUACAGUUUCACCCACAACAACAAGAAGCACAGCCUGGCUCCUCUCAGCCCCCAAGAGGUCUACGAAAUGCAGAGAGCCAUGGACCAGUCUGGGCUGUUUAGUAAAACUAACCUUUUCAUCUCUUCUAGUAAAGUGAUUAAAUCAUUGCAGCAAGAUACACAGGUGCUACUAAUGGUCUUCAAGGAAGGUUGUUUUGCAGGUUUUGAGGCACCAGAUUGCCCAGCUGAGAUGCAAGUGCUAAUGGACAAGUACAAGGACGUGUUUCCUGAGGAGAUACCAGCCGGCUUACCACCCCUCCGAGGCAUUGAGCAUCAGAUAGACUUUGUGCCCGGCGCCCCACUUCCAAACCGAGCCGCGUACCGAGUCAAUCCGGAGGAGGCUAAGGAGCUGGAGAGACAGGUCCAAGACCUCAUGGACAAGGGGUACAUUCGAGAGAGUCUCAGUCCAUGUGCAGUUCCCGUCCUCUUGGUGCCUAAGAAGGAUGGUACAUGGCGUAUGUGUGUUGACUGCCGAGCCAUCAACAACAUCACCAUAAAAUAUCGGUACCCCAUUCCUAGACUUGAUGAUAUGUUAGAUGAACUGAGUGGUUCCACCAUGUUUUCCAAGAUUGAUCUUAGGAGUGGCUAUCACCAAGUGCGGAUGAAGGAGGGAGACGAGUGGAAGACUGCUUUCAAGACCAAGCAAGGCUUGUAUGAGUGGCUGGUGAUGCCCUUUGGUCUUACCAACGCCCCUAGUACCUUCAUGAGGCUUAUGAACGAGGUUCUAAGGCCUUACAUUGGUAAAUUUGUGGUUGUCUAUUUUGAUGACAUAUUGAUCUAUAGUCAGUGCUUAUCCGAUCACAUUAGUCAUGUAGAACAGGUUUUGAAGGCUCUCAGGCAGGAAGGACUCUUUGCCAAUCUCAAGAAGUGUGUAUUUUGCACUGACCAGUUAAUAUUUUUAGGCUUUGUUGUGAGUUCACAGGGUUUGAAGGUCGAUGAGGAGAAGAUCAAGGCCAUCCAAGACUGGCCCACACCGACCACUAUUGGGCAAGUCCGAAGUUUCCAUGGCCUAGCCAGCUUCUAUAGGCGGUUUGUCAAGGACUUCAGCACCAUUGCUGCACCCAUGACCUCAGUGAUCAAGAAGAAUGUAUCCUUUGUUUGGGGCCCUGCCCAAGAGGAGUCUUUCAACAAGCUUAAAUAUAGUUUAACUCAUGCACCCGUUCUUACACUCCCUGAUUUUAAUAAAACUUUUGAGAUUGAGUGUGAUGCAUCAGGUACAGGCAUUGGAGCUGUCCUCACUCAAGGGGGCCGACCAGUGGCAUUCUUUAGUGAAAAACUGAGUGGAGCUGCCCUCAACUACCCAACCUAUGACAAAGAGCUAUACGCUCUAGUAAGGUCCCUUGAAACUUGGCAGCAUUACCUAUUGUCUAAGGAAUUUGUUAUUCAUACAGAUCAUGAGACACUUAAGCACUUGAGGGGACAGACCACACUCAAGAAGAGGCACGCCAGAUGGCUCGAGUUCGUGGAGACCUUUCCCUAUGUGAUCAAGUACAAGAAGGGCAAGGACAAUGUGGUGGCCGAUGCACUGUCCCGGAGACACACUCUCAUUGUGACCAUGGAGGCCAAGAUCAUGGGUUUCGAACAUAUUAAAGAAUCUUAUGCCACUGAUCUUGAUUUUAAUGAAGUUUUCAGGAACACUGAGAAGGGGGCUUUUGGGCCAUACUACCAGCAUGAGGGGUUCCUGUUCAAGGGCAAGAGGCUGUGCAUUCCCAAAGGAGCCAUGAGGGAACUGCUGGUUCGGGAGGCCCAUGGUGGCGGCCUCAUGGGACACUUUGGUCGGGACAAGACCUUGAGUGUCCUAACUGAACAUUUCUUUUGGCCAAACAUGAAGAGGGAUGUGGAGAGCAUAUGCGCCAAGUGCACUACUUGCCUCAAAACCAAGUCCAGGUCACAUCCUUACGGUUUACAAAUGCCAUUACCGAUUCCUAACCACCCUUGGGUAGACAUUUCUAUGGACUUUGUGCUGGGUUUACCCAAGAUAAACCACAAGGAUUCCAUUUUUGUAGUGGUAGACAGGUUCUCCAAGAUGGCCCAUUUCAUAGCCUGUAACACCACUAAUGAUGCCACUCAGACCGCCGACCUAUUCUUCAAAGAAGUGGUCCGACUACAUGGUGUUCCUCGAACCAUUGUGUCUGACCGUGAUACCAAGUUCCUCAGCCAUUUCUGGAGGACACUAUGGGGCAAGUUCGGAACCAAGCUACUAUUCUCGACCACUUGCCAUCCCCAGACCGACGGCCAGACUGAGGUAGUAAACCGUACGCUUUCUCAACUGUUGAGAGCUACGGUCGGUAAGAAUUUAAGAAAUUGGUUGUCUUGUUUGCCUUUUGUUGAGUUUGCUUAUAACCAUGCUAGGCACUCUACUACUAACCUGUCACCUUUUGAGAUUGUUUAUGGGUUUCAGCCAGAGACUCCUUUAGACUUCACCGAACUGCCCAGCUCCAUGUACCGCAGUCGUGAUGGAGUCGCCAAGGCAGAGUUUGUUAAGAAUAUGCACUUAAAGGUCAAGGAGAGGAUAGAAGCCAAGGCGGCUAAGGUCAAGGCCAAGUAUGACCAGAAGAGGAAGGAGGUACUGUUCGAACCCGGGGACUUGGUGUGGUUACACAUGCGGCCCGAGAGGUUUCCAGAAGCCCGGAAGUCCAAGCUCUCUCCUCGUGGGACAGGACCAUUCCGCAUCCUAAAGAAGAUCAACGACAACGCCUAUAUCCUUGACCUCCCUGCUGAAUUUAAAAUUUCACAUACUUUCAAUGUCUCGGAUUUGUCUCCUUUCCAUGCAGAUAGUGAUGACUUUGCAGAUGAUGGUGUUCUGAGGCCAGAACCUCUUCAAGAGGGAGGGAAUGAUGAGGCCAUCCAAGUAGAGGUUCCCAUAGUUAGGCGCGGUCCGACUACCCGGAGUGGAACCAGGGCCUUGCGAGAAGGUUUCACCAAAGCUGUCCAGCAUAUCCUUGAUCAAGAUGGACAGACUGACCAGGACCAGCUGCUGAUUGAGAAGAUGGUCCAGUUGAAGAUUCAAGAUCAAGCCGGCCCAAAGGAGGUUCAGGACGCGGCCGACCCGAUCCAGUUCAGACUCAACCAAGCCGGACUUCUCAUCUCCACAUCCGAGCUUGGUCCAGACUCAGUUUCCAUUUCAUCCACUCCAACUCUUUCCGGUUCUGAGAUCUAGCCGACCACCAAGGGGAGUAGCAUGUGUUGUACUCUUUUUCCUCACCAGGUUUUGUCCCAUUGGGUUUUCUUGGUAAGGUUUUAAUGAGGCAACAUGCAAGCAUGCUAUUAGCCUUGGUCUAAGCCUUCUCAAACCGACAACCAGAUGUCUGGUUUAUUUUAAUUUAUUUGGUUAAGACUUUGGGCUAAUGUUUCAGCCUCAUUUUCGGCCAGCUUGUUUAAGGCCUUUUAUCUUUGAGUCUCAUAAGGGGUAAACCCUAUAUAACUCCAUGAAGUUGGCGAUUUUUGCCUAAGUCUUUUAUGAAAUAAUUUUGCCUUUGCAAACCUAAAACCCUAAGUCUUUUUCUGUGAGAAACAAGAGAGAGCAGCCGAAUCUUAUCAAGCUUCAAACCACCAAGCUUGUGGCGAUUCUUCACUUCCAUCCCAUCCAUCGAUUUGCCUUGAGAGUGAUACACAUCCAGCAAGUCAAAUCCCAUAGCUAUCCACCUCCAUCCACUGUUCUUGUUGAGAGAGAUACACAUCCAGCAACAAGGAUCCAUCCCCCAUAUUUCUAUCCUUCUCUUAUUUUGUUUCAGUUUGCAUCAUAUAGUUCUAGAUUUCCAUUCGAUAUAAAAACUCAUAAAAAGUCAUAUUUGUUUCUGUUCUCAGUUUAUCAUUUAGUUUUCUUUCAGUUCAUCAUUUUAAAAUCCAUAAAAAAGCUCAUAAAAAAAUAACUCUCCUUGCUUCAAGAACUAGAUCGGCGAACUCCCUCUCCAUCGCGUCCGCCUAGCCGCUCCGUAGCCCUCGGUCCGACCUGUCCCGUCCGAGUUCUUGAACCUCUGGCCGACCAUUUGGGAUAGCUGAAUCUCAGCCUGUAUCAUCAUCGUUAUGUUUUAGGUUGGAAAAUUUAGGUUUUUGUUCAGUUAGGGUAGCAAGUUGAGAACCGGCUAAUGUCCAAACAAAAUUGUGUUUAGUUCGGUUUGAUUUUUUUGUUUUAGAAAUAUAGGAUCUGUUUGGUUAAUUUUUGAAAUUCGAUACGAUUUUAAUUUCAGUUUUUUUUUAUAUAUUUUUAGUUCCAAAUAAAUGUGCUUAGAUCUACCCAUUAUGUUAUAGAAACAAAUUAUAUUUUAUAAAAUUAUUUAAUUCUGAAAAUAAUCCUGCGAUUUUAAAGAUUAUUUAAUUUUGAAAAUAAAUCUCUGCUUUUCACAAAGCUCAAACCGGAUUUAUCUUGUGUUGCCGGGUUUACCGGUUCAAUCGCGGAUCCGGUUGGAUUUCAAAACACCGAGUAUGAAACUUUGAUUUUUGGGUCGAUUCCAGGUCGGUGUUUUCAGGUACGAAUAUUUUUGACUAAUUAUGUUAAAUAACUACUAAGUAAAUAUAAUAUGUUGCAAACUUUAGGAACAAAAUUUAAAAAUAAUUUAUGGAAUGUAUAUGGCACAAGUGUAUAGUUAUGCAAAAAUUAAACUAAAUUAAAUUAAUAUUAAUUACAAAUAUAAUUAAAAACACAAAUAUAAAAAUUGAAUUUCUCAAAAAAUUAAAACAAAAAAUAUACAUCUAUAUUAUUAAAAGUGAAGUACAUUUCAGAGUUGUUUGGGUAUAUGAAUAGUAGGAUUAAUAAAAACUGUUUUGUUUGGAUGCAUAGAUAUAGUUAAUACUUUAGAUUUUAAUUUAAAAAUUCGACAUGCUUUUUAAAAACGUGAACAAAACAAAAUAAAGCAUAUAUUUAAUACUUUAGAUUUUAACUUAAAAUAGGAUUAAUAAAAACGGCUAGAUUUUAACAGAACGUAAGUUCCAAGUUAAAAAUAAGGCAUAUAUUUCAAAAACAAAUAUACACAAAAUCUAAACUUAACAAAAACAUAAUUCCAACACAUUAACUCCACAUAUAUCGAUCUUACAAACUAACAUAUCUGAACGAGAAUCCUAAUUACUUGAUUCCCUCAUUUCACACCUUCUUUAUCCAAUUUUCAAAUAAUAAAUUAUCAAAACCAUUUUAAGUAUAACAACCGAAUAUUCUCUUUUUGUGCUAACAAAUUUAGUUACUUAGGCAACUAAUAUAUAUCUUGCUUGAUUGACUCCACAAAAAUCGUGCUAUUAAAUUUUUAAAAAAAUUCUUUAGAUUACGUAUAACCCACUAUAUAUAUAAACCUUCCCCUCAUAUUCUUCAUACUCACCGUAGCAAAGAAAAAAAAAACUAAAAUGUCUAACAAGUAAAGUAGUUUGGUUUUGUCGAACAAGCAGAGUUUGGUUUUUCUUAACCAAGUCAAACCCUUCAAAGACACUUGGCGAGUAUAUGUGAAGUGUCUUCACUCAUGUAAGAUAAACAACAACUCUGGUAAAUCUCUCGAAUGCGUUCUCGUGGAUGAACAAGUAAGUUUGAUUUUAUAUAUAUAUAUAUAUAUAUAUAUUGUCUCUUAUAUGUAAUACUCUAUCGAUUUUGUUGUUUAUAUUAGCAAAAAAUAUUAAUAUCAGCUUUUAUAUUGUGUUUAGGGUGAGAAACUUCAUGCUUCUGCCAAAAGAAAUCAGAUGUAUCGUCUACAGCGCAACCUUCCUAUUGGUGAAUAGCGGUUUAUUGAGAACUUUACAGUUACGAGUGCUGGAGGUCAAUAUCGAAUAACUACCUCUCCAAAUUACAUUUAUUAUUUUAUCUUUGUUUUUCUAUUAUUAUUAUUUAUUUAUGUGAAAAAAUUAUUUUAAAAACCUUAUUCUUACAUAUUUUAAAAGUAUUUAUCAUAUAUUAAGAACAAACAGUUUCUGAUGUAAUAUAUAUUGCCUUUUCAACAUUUUUUUCAUUAAUUAUAAAUAAGGUUCCCCUAUAAUUGUAUUAAGAUAGAUUAUAAUAAUAUAGAUUUUAAAUACUGUAUAACAAUUUGACAGAUCUUACACAUCCAGUUACGAAAUAUAUAAUACACAUGAUUUUUUAACCAUAUUGAAUUGAUAUAUUUGACUUCGUUUAAUUUUCCAUAAACAAAUGAAUAUACAUAAAAUAGAAUAUGUAUUUUUCAUAAAGCUGUAAAUUUGUUAAAAUCUAAAUAAAAUAUUGUUUGUUCUCAACAUUUCAAGAUUACACAAUACAGUGACGAAAUACAAAGUUUAAACAGUAAACUUUAAUAAUACAAAUUCGUUCAACUAAAUUAAGAUUUGCAAAUGUUUAUAUAUAUAUCAUAAAAAUAUAGACCCGCCCAGUCGGGCGGGUUAAGAUCUAGUGUCCUUUUAAAGGGCGGACGGAAUCUAGUGAUGGAUUAAUAAUGGAUAUGUGUGGGGUUCAAGGGAUUACCAAAUGAUAUGGUACAACUUUAUAAUAGAGGGGCCUGUACAAUUUAAAAUACUACCAGAAAACACUGUGUCCAAGAGAAUAUUUUUGUUUUAAUUUAAUAAGAUAGAUUUAUUUACUAAAAUAUUAAAAAUUAGGGAUGAUUUAAUAAUGAAUAUGUGUGGGUUCCAAAGGAUUAAUAAUGGUAUGGUAUAUAUAUAUAUAUAUAUAUAUUAUUUGCGAAGUGAUUUUUCGGUUUCGGACUCUCACAUUAAAAUUUGGAGCGAUUAAAGUCGUUAUUACCAUUAAUAGAUAUUUAAAUUUAAAAAAAUUGAUGAAACAAAGAAAAAAUAAUAAUAAAUCAUAUUUGAAAAAUUAAGAAAAAGUGAGUGUAUAGAUUAAGUUACAUAUAUUAUGUAUUUAACCUUUUAUUUUAAAUGGUCCAAUAGGUUAUGCGAUUAUGUUUUGUAUAACAAAAUUCUUGAAAUUAUUGAUAACAUGAUUUUCAAUCGUGUGAGGUUUAAUUUAUAAAUGUUUUUAAAAAUUCAAUACAAAGUUUGAAAUUAAAAUAAAUGUUGGACGUAUUGGGUCUCAAAGUUUCACCUAAAAUAAUACAACUGCAAGGUGGCCUUCAUUUGUGUAAAGGAGAUUGAUCAACAUGGCUAAAAACAGAAACGUGGGUUGAUUAUGCAUUAUGUAUAAUUAGUAUUCCCCUAUAUAUUAAAUGAAAAAUCACUUUAGUGAUUUCUGCUGGCGUGUCGCUAGUAGGUGAAGUUUCAAGAAAUUGUUAUAAUUUGAUUGGUCGAUGAUUUUUAAUUUUUACUUAUUUAAAUUAGAUCUAAAAAUUUAGGGUAAGUCUAAAAUCAUUUAACAUAACUUACCAUAUAAUCUAAAGAAUAUUACAAAUAACAAUUUAUGACAACUAAUUUUUGAAAUUAUAGAAAGAUUAAUAAAGUUUUCUUUAUUAUUUUUAAUAUUAUAAACUAUAAAAAUAUAUUGAAUGAAUUUUUAUAUAAGAUAAUUAUAAUAGUUUUAUACUUUAUUUGAUGAAUUGUAUUCGAAUAUAAUUAUAUAAUAACUAUUUUAAAUAUUACAAAAUCAAAACAUGUUUUAUUAAUAUGAUUUUUAAAUUACUUAUUGCUGUUUACAGAAUAAAUUUAUCAGAGUUUUAAAAUAAUUUAUAAAAUGUUAUAAAUUAUUUAUAAAAAUAUAAAUCAUACUAUAUAUUGAUUGAGAAGUCAUAUAAAUGAUUUUUUCUUACGUGUCAAUCAUAAAUGAAUUCUUAAAAUUGUUAUAAUUUGAAUGGUCAAUGAAUUUUAAUUUUAUUUACUAUAAUUAUAUCUAAAAGGAAAAUAUAACUCAAUUACCAAUUAAUAUCGCUUUUCAAGUAAUCUACAUAAUAUUAGAAAUAAUUAUUUACGGUAACUAAUUAUUUUUGUUUAAUGAAGUUUGAAAUUUAUUGAUCAUUGUAUAAUAAAUAAGGUAACUAAUUGUUGAGACUAUGAAAAAGUAAUAAUGUGAUCACAUUUUUUAUAUAUUUAUAAACUACAUAAAAUAAUAAACAAAAAUGUUUAUUUGAAUUGAUAUAAUGAUUUUAUAUUUGUAUAUAAAGCCUUAUAUUUGUAUAUAAAGUAUCAUAAUAACUAAUGUCUAAUAAAGUCCAUACAUGCUUUAUAAAUCAUUUAUAAAAUUAUUUAUAUUGACUUAUCAGAUGUUUUAAAUUAUUAUAAGAGAUUCUAAGUCAUUUAUAGAAGCUUAUAUAUUAAUUUAUAAAAUGUAUUUUGAAAAUUUAUUUUAUAUUAAAUGAGAACUCACUUAAUUAAUUUUUGUUUAGGUGUCUUUGAGUUUUAGAAAAACUAUUAUAAUUUGAUCAUUAAUAGAUUUUCUAUUUUUAUUUAUUUUAUGAGUAAGAAAAUCACUUCUAGAACCAAUUUCUAUCAGUAUCCAAACAAUAUAAAUAUAUUGCAUAAAAUAAUUUAUUUUAAUUAAAUAUGUGAUUUAUAUAAAAUAUAUGUAAUGCCCAUAAAAUCAUUUUUAUUAAUCAAGUAUUUCUAAACUAUAUAAUUUAUUUCAAAAGUAAUUUAUAGAAUUGAUAUAGUAGUUUUAUAUUGCUAUGUAGUUAGAUAUGAAUAUGUAGAAAAUGUGUAACAAUCAUAUUGUUUUAUCUUUUAAUCUUAAUAAAGACAUAUAAAUUUAACAACAAAUUAUUUAAAAAUCAAAAGUUUCAAUACUACAUACCUUCAAAACUCAUUUUAUUAAAAAUGAAUUAUGAAUAUUAUAUAAAUAAUUUUAACAAAAAUAUUUUAAAUACAAAAUAUCAACAGAUAUUUGAAAUAUUAAUAUUCAUCUUUUUUAAAAACAAUUAUUCUUUAAAAAAAAAUUAACAGUAAACACAUAUUCAAUUUUGAUUAUGAAAAAUAUCUUAAUUUGACAAAUUAUAUUAAAUAUAUUGUUACAAAACAUUCAAACCCGCAAAAUUGCGGGCAUCCACCUAGUAUGAUAAUUUGAUGUGAGGUUUAAUUUAUAAAUUUGUUUUUAAAAGUUCAAUAGAAAGUUUGAAAUUAAAAUAAAUGUUGGACGUAUUGGGCCUCAAAGUUUCACCUAAAAUAAUACAACUGCAAGGUGGCCUUCGUUUUGUGUAAAGGAGUUUGAUCAACAUGGCUAAAAACAGAAACGUGGGUUAAUUAAGCUAUAAGACAUGCAUUAUGUUUAAUUAGUAUAGAUGAUUAUUUGAUGUGACAAAUUAAUUGGCUGAAAGGAUUUUGCCUUGUGUCACACUAGGCAAGAUAAUGAUCAUAUAGCACCUCUUGGUAUUGUAGAUUAAGCUAAUCUAAAACAAAAAAAAAAGAGCUAAUAAACAGUGUCCAUAAUCAGGGAAUAACAUUAAUUAGUGAACAAUAAGAGAUUUAAGUUGAUGUUUUUCUUAGAUAAGAUAAAACCAUGGGUACUAAAAAAAAAGCAAUUAAGCAAAAUGAAAAAACAAAUAUUUCAAAUUAAAACAUAGACUACGAAACGAAAAGCAAGAGCUGCUGCUGAUAACUUAGUAACAAGAUCACACCAUCAAGAACCGUCAGGACUUGCUUACUUCAUACGUUUGCCUUUUCGAUCGAAGUCAGCAACUCGCGAUCGCCUAUUCUCCUUAAUGUUCAAUUUACGAACGGCAGGAAGUCUCAUCUCCUGCGAGAUGAAAAAAGUUUAGUGAUCAAAUGGUUAGAUAACGUUAAUAUACAGAGAGGAGAUGGAGAGAGUGCUUACUUCUUUUGCAUGUUCUUUAUCAGUAGAGAGAUGCUUCCUGAACUGAUCAAUGCUUUUGGUACCAAAGUGGCACAAACUGCAAUUAAACGUAGCGGUAGGUUCACCGCUUUCACUGCUACACUUGUGAAGAACAAGUCUUCUUUGUUCGAAAUCUGCAAGUAAGCUUUCCCAGAGCCACUCUGCAGAAGUGAGCAGGAAUGACAUUUGGUAAGGCCUAAACGAAUAAGCCAGAAAAAGGUUGUAUUUAUUCUCUUGUAGUAAAAUGACGUUUUGGAAGGCCUAAACGAAUAAGCCAGGAAAAGCUUGUAAUUAUUCUCUUGUAGUAGCUCGACAAGAUAAUGUGAAAUCCAAUCCACAUGAUCCGAUAUGACCAUCAUUAUAGUAGCAUUCCGAGGAGGAUUAUCAUAAUGCCACUUCUCCACAACUGAAGCCAUGUCUGGGAGAUCUGUAUCCUCAUCAAUCAAACAAUAAAAGGAAUGCAUUUCAGUGUUGGCCGGGGUAGAAAUUUUAAACGCUAAAAAAAAAAAAAAAUCAAAUUCAAAAGACGAACCGGGAACGCAAUGUAAAGCAUGGACACCAGUGGAAGAGAGAGCUUGCAGGGGAGUAUGGUUAUGGUCGCCAUAGGCAGUGAUAGAGACAGGACCAGAGUAGCCUAGUUCCUUGAAUGCAGCUUCUAGACUGGGACGGACCCGACGAGCAUCAUAACCUUCGGGAAGCGGACAAGACGUCAUGUCCCACCACACCUGUAUUUUAGCUGUCGCAAAUUCAGGAGUAGCCUUGUAGUUCUUUCCCCACUCCUCCGUUACACAUACGACCUUGUCGUACGUAGGGUUUAUAAUCUCCUGCGAGUGGACACCAAAAUUAAAUAAAUAAAGUUUUUUUUAUUAAAAUUGUUACACAAAAUAAAAUAAAAAAAAAGAAGAGAAAAGAGGAUCUGCUUACCUCUCGUACAUGCUCGUAACUCCAGAUAUGCUUCUUGAAUUUCUUCAGGCUUUGGGUAUCGAAAUUGCAAGAAUUGCAAUACAACUUGGCACCCUGAACAGCAACAUGUGGUCCGCUUAGUUUAAGUAAACUUUUCCAGCACCACUCUUCACUUGUGGAGAGGAGAAUUGAUACUUUAGGCACAACUGAAUAAGCCAGAAAAAGGUUGUAUGGCGUCCGUUGUUGUAGCCGGAGCAGAUCCCAAUCAAAGACACCUCGCACCUUAUUUGAUAUGAUCAUCAUUGUAGCCGGAGGAGGAUUCUGACCUCGCCAUUCCACCAUAUCCCGAUACAUCAUGUAGUGUACGCUUUCUGUUUCAGUUUUUUUUUUUUUGGUAUUUAAUUAGUAUUAUCCAAACUAAUAAACAUAUUAUAUACAUAUAUAUAAAGUUCCAGAGAUUGAUUACUAACCGGAUCUGGUAUGUGCUACAGAGAUUCCAGUGGAUAAGAGACCUUGCAGGAUGUGACCAGGGGUUUGUGUUUGCUCGCCAUAGGCAGUGAUGGAGACUGGACCAGAGUAGCCUCGUUCCUUGAACGCCCCUUCUAAACUCGGUCGGACCUGACCAGCAUCAUAACCCCCCGGAAUCGGACAAUCCUUCAUGUCCCACCAUACCGCUAUUUUAGCCGUCGCGUAUUCAGCCGUCGCCGUCCCGUAUUCAGCCGUCGCCGUCAUCCUGUAAACCCUUUUAACUAAUCUAUCUCACACACACAAGUCCUCCCACUUCGUUCUAGGGUUCCUUUUUAUAUAUACAUCAAACUAAUGUGCCCUAAACGAAAGCCAGUAAAGCCCACGAUAAUAAUAUAUUGUCUUGGUGCCGGUCAUUUUAAGUGGAUUUUAAAAAUGCCUCAUGUGUUAAGCAUAAGUAGUACAAUUUUAAUAUUUAACUAGGUGUCUUCCUGCCCCAUGUGCAUUAAAAAAAUUUAAAAUAUUUUUUAACAGAUAAAUAUAAAUUAUAUUAUAAAAUAAAAUUUUAUUAAUAUUAUAAAUUUUCUUUUUCGUAUCAAUAUUUUAAUAUAAAUUUGAUUUAAUUAAACAUAAAAAUUAUUUUUAAGAAUAUGCUCGUAUAUAUUUGAAAUUAUAAUCUUAGAUAGAUUUUUCUAUCUAUUUAUUUUAAUUAAAUAUAUUAAAUAAAUUUGUAAAAGUUGCAUAAUUACCAAAAAUUAAAAUGAAACAAUAUUUAUAAAAUUUGUAGAUAUAUAAGAAAAUAAUGAUUUUACGGUUAAUUUUUAUAAUUUUUAAAAAAAAUUGUAUACAUUUUUGGAAAUUUUAGUAAUAAAAUUUUAUAAUUUAAAAAUAUAUAAUUAAAUUAUAUUUCGAAAUUUAUAAUGCCAUAUUUGAAUAUAUUUAUUUUAAUGAUGAUUUAUGAGUUAUUUCCAUAUUCUAAAAAAAAUUCCAAAAAUAUAAAUUGACAUUAAAUGUAAUAUAUGAGUUAUUACCAUAUUUUAAAAAGUUUACCAAAAAUCUAUUCUAUUUAAAGAGAAUCAUUCUGAAAAAAUCUACUUAUGAAAGGUUGUUAGACCAUUUCAUUUACUACCAAUAUAUUUGGUCUUACCAUAAUAUUUGACUAACAAUAUCUAACAUAAAAUUUCUCUAACAAUAAUUUAUUACACCACAUCUUUUUGAACAUGACAAAGUUAUACAACAAAUAAAAUUUUAUUUAUUAGACCAUAUCACACGGCAAUGAUAUACACAAUUUAGUUUUUAUACUUUAUUAUACUCUUUUCUAAACAUACAAUAUAGUUUAUAUAUUUUAUGACACUCUUUUCUAAACAUCUGUAUAGUUCCAAAUAUUUACAAAAUCAAAUUUAAUACAAACACUUUAACAAACCAUAUGUAAAAAAUAAAACUAUAUAUUUUACGUUAAAUUAUUUUUUUAUAGUUUAAAACAAAUUUUGUUAUUUAAUACAAGAUUAAAAAUUAUUAAAAAAUUUACAAAUCUAUACUACUAAAUUAGCCAAAAUCAACCAAGUAAAUCUUAAGGCUCACAAAUUCAACAAAUGUAACUCUUAUAAAAUGCACACAAAAUAUAACGGGAGAGAGUAGUUAUAGGCAUCGGGUCUUCUGGUUGGGUACGGAUCGGUUCCUUUCGAUAUAAGUAUUUAAAAUUUUCUGGUUCGGAUUCGGGUCGAUUUCUUUGGGAUCAAGGUCCAUACUUCAAAUACCUACAAAAUACCUAUAAUUUUUGGGUACGUAACGGUCCAAAUUGGCUUGGGGUUUUAGGACUCGGAAAAUAUUCGAAGUACCCAAAAAUUAAAAAAAAUACUGAAACACAAAAAAUCCGAAAACAAAAAUAAAUACCUGAAAAAUAUUUAAAUUCCUAAAAAAACCCAAAGUUUAUGGUAAAUAUGACAUGAGGAACCUAAGAUACCUAAAAACAUUUCUUCAUACCCAAAAAAAAUUGAAUUUUACCCGAAACUAUAAUCGGAAAUCUGGAUCCGAAACUUAAAAAAAUAUUCAUAAUACUGAAAACACAUUCGAAAUACCAAAUACAUAUAUGAAAAAAAUCAAAUAUACCUAAUAUACUUAAAACAUUUAAUAUACUUUGAAUACCCAACUGGGUCUCGGAUAGGACUAGGAAUCGAACAAAGACCCAAGUCGAAGAAAAAAUCAAAUAUGUACUUUGCCCUAAAUCCAAACCCAAACCACAACUAUAUUUCUUGAUUGAUUUUGGUCUGGUUUUUCGGAUCUGGUGAAAUAUCUAAAACUAAAAAGAAUUAUAUAAUAGUGUACAUACAAAAUAUUAUAUAAACUAAUAUACUUUGAAUACCCAACUGGGUCUCGGAUAGGACUAGGAAUCGAACAAAGACCGCAAGUCGGCGAAAAAAAUCAAAUAUGUACUUUGUCCUAGAUCCAAACCCAAACCACAACUAUAUUUCUUGGUUGAUUUUGGUUUGGUUUUUCGGAUCCUCUGAAAUAUCUAAGACUAAAAAGAGUUAUAUAAUAGUGUACAUACAAAAUAUUAUAUAAACAAAUUCACAAAUUAUAUAAUUUUAAACAAGUGCCCUUCUUCGAUAUAAUGACUUUGUAAGAGAAUAAUGUCCGCCAAUUCUAAAAUACUAAUUCACAAAUUUUGUUUAUAAUCCAAAGAAGAACUCGCGCUUUCGAAGCGCGGGUCAAAAUCUAGUAUAAAUUAACAUUAAAUGCAAUUGUCCAUGUCAUAUUAAACUAUAAGACAUGUCAUCAAUUUCAGUUGUCAUGUCAUAUUUGUUUUGUGAAACUGAUUGUAGAAAGGACAUGUGACAAAAUCACUUCGCAAAUAUAGUAUAGGGGAAACCCAGUACAUCAAUCAAUAUUGUUAAAAAGAUAGAGAGUUUUCAAAAAUCUACCUAUGCAAAGUUACGUGGACCUAUUCACUAGAAACUGAAUUUUUUUGGUUUUACUUUAUAUUUUAUUGUUACUUAUUUUACUCAAUAGUAAAGAUACCAUAUAUUGAACCCGUGAAUACUCUUUUCUUAUCCCCUAUAUAUUAUUUGAGAAGCAUUGCAACAUUUUUUGUAGUCACAUGUCAUCACUAUAAUGAUUCUUAGAAUCCGUAGAGAAAUAUGUUAGUCUAUCUAAAUAUAUAAUAAAGUUUUUAUUAAACUAACCAUAAAUACAUUAUUAAUGUGCUUCAAUAUUUUCUUAAAUAAAAUUACGAAAUUGCCUAAUGUGGCUAAAGUAUAUAUGACAAUUAAUGAUUAAAGAUUUUGAUAAAAAUAAGUGUAUCUUAUAUUAUAUUUGUUUAAUUUUCAACUAUUACAAUAAAUUAAACAGCCAUAUUAACCAUAUAAUAAAAAUUAAAUUUUUUCUUUAUACGUUAUAUUUUGAAUUUUUAAAAAUGAGUAUAAAUUACUAAAACUGUUAAAAGUCACACAUUCAAAUUUUGUGAUCCAUGGUUUAAAUUUUUUGUUAUGACAUGAUAAAAAUACAUAAAUAUCUUAAUUUUGAAAUUUACUUGGAACAAUUUUUAUGAUAAAAUUUUGAAAAACUAUUGACAACUUAAUUUUUAAAAAUAUUAUAAAUUACUUAAACUAUUAAUUCUACAGUAAAUUUUUUGUUAUCAGUAAUUUAAUUUUUUUGCUAUAACAAAUACAAAUGAUAAAAAAACAUAUGAGUAGAAAGCAUCAUUUAAUAAAUAAUAAUAUUAAAAUAUAUUAUAUAUAUGUUACUAUCAUUUAAAUUUAAUUAUAUACCAUAUCAAAUAGAAAAAAAUAUUAUUUGGAUUAAUAAAAUUUAUUUAUAUGUUCGCACCAAUUUAAUUAUAUAAAUAAUAGUUACUAACUUUUUAAUUAUUCAAUAUAUAUUUAUUAUUUCAUAAUAUGUUUGAAACAUAUAAUAUAUAAAAUAAUUUAUAUAUAAUGUUAAUCCUAAUCGCGCGCAAGGCGCGGAUCUUAACCUAGUUAAAGUCGGUACACUACACCAGUACACCCUAUAUUUACGGACUACUAAGUUAUUUUACCCAAACUAUAUCAUUUCUAUGAGCCACCAACGACUUCUAAACUUAUAUAAUUAAUCUCAACAUUAAAACAUGACUCAUCUAAUACAAUAUAACAAAAUUAUAUCAUUCUGUUGACCUACCAACUAUUACACUCCAUCUCUCCAUUGAUCAAACUUCUGUCUACAAUAUUUCAAACUCUUAUUCAAAUGUCACUUAUUCUAAAAUCAUACAUGACAGUGCUAGAGGCCUUGACCACCAAAUUAAAUAAAUCAUAAUUUUUAAGCUCAGAUUUUAAUAAUGAAUGUAGGUCUCAACCUUCAUUUUUAGUCUGAAUUUAUAAUAUAUUGAGUAGAUUUAGAAAAAAAAAUGAUAGGUUUAUAAUAACUGCAACUUUUUAUAUGCUUGGUUUUAUAUUUUUAUAGCUUGAUUUUAAAUAUACAUAUAUAUAUAUAUAUAUAUAUAUAUAUAUGGGAGAAAAUCUUUCUAAUAACAAGAUUUACUUCAUUUUAUAAUUUCUAUACUAUUAAACACACAAAUUUCAUCUUCUGAUAUAUUUCAAACAAAUUACAAAAACUCAAACGCUUGAUCACAUCCAUAUAAAUCAAUAUGACUUUUUAACUUAACAGAAACACUUUAGAAAAUCAUCUGUUAAAAACAAAUUCUAUAUUUUACACUAUUUUUUAUAAAAAAGAAUUUAUAGUAAAAUUUGUUAUUUAAAAUAAGUUUAAAAUCUACUAAAACUUACAAACCUAUAAUAUUAAAUUAACCAAAAAUAUGCCACGUAAUUCUUAAGUCUCACCAUCUCAGCAACAAAUGCAGUUCUUAUAAAAUGCACACAAGCAAUAAAACGAGAGAUUCGGCAUUCGGGUCUUCAUUCAGUACAGAUCGGUUCCUUUUGAGUUUGGGUUCCUUGGGUUCUAAACAAUUGAAUAAUUGGGUAUUUGAAAACUUUUGGUUCGUCUUCAGGUUGGUCUUUUUCAGGUUGAAGUUAGAGCAGGUCCAUAAUUUGAAUAACUGUAAUUUUUGGGAAUGUGGCGGGUCUAGAUUGGUUUGGAUAUUUAGUACCGAAAAAGAAUCAAAGUAUUCAAAAACCGAGAAACCAAAAAAUACCCAAAUCUUUUUCCAAGUACCCAAAAUAUACUUUUUAAAAAUUUGGAAUUUCAACUGAAACCCGAAAUUAUAAUCGAAAACAAAAACCAAAAAUUAAAAAAAAAAGUAUAUAUAAUACCAAAAGCCUAUCCAAAAUACCCAAUAUACCAAACAUACACAAAAAAAUUUCAAGUACUGUAAGUACCCGAUCGGGUUUCGGGUAUGAACCAGACCCGAACACAGACCCGCUGGACCAAGAAUAAAAUCUAAUAUGUACUUUGCCUUUGACCCGGACCCAAACUGUACCAAUAUUGUAUGAUCGAUUUCGGUUUAUUUUUUCGGUUCCGGUAAAAUAUCCAAAUGUAAACGAAAGAAAGAGUUACAUAAGAGUGUACAUACAAAAAAUUUAAUAAACUAAUUCAUAAAUUAUAUAAUUUUAAUUAGACUUUUUAGGUAUAAUAUGACCCUAUAACAUGAUAAUAUACAAAAACUAUAAAAAAACUAAUUCACAAAUUUUAUUUACAGCCCAAAGAACAACCCGCGCUUUCUAAGCGAGGAUCAAAAAACGUAUCUGGAUUAUAAUUUUAGAAACAUUUAACUCAUUUUGGUGAUCAUUAAGAGCACACAAUCAAACCCAAAACUUGUCUUUUGUAUGAGCUGUGAAAGUUGUUGAGAAAGGUGCUCUAAUUUUCUGUUUGGUUGAUGGUAAUUUAUUAGUGAUUUUGUGUUUGUGUCAUGGUCAUAUAUGGUCCGGUAAGGUUCUUAGGGCAUUGGUAUUGGUGGGACUCAACCCACAAGCCCUUAGCAUUUUUUUAAUAAGGUUAUAUGUUAAGGGGACAUUGAAAAAUUUGGUAGAUUAUUAGUGAGACUUUGCUUGUCCCUUAGGUUAUUAUUUAAUUAAUUUAUUAUUUUAAUAAUGAAUUACAUAUAAAAAGAAGUUUUAAAUAAAACAUAUAAAAGAGAAGUUUAACAUUAAAAUUGAAAUCUUAAGAAAAUUACAAAGUUGAAAAAAAAAUACCAAACAUCAUAAUAAAAAAAACACACACACAAACAUUUAUUCCAAUACAAAUAGAAACUUAUAAAUUAUAUGUUAUGUGUAAGAUGUCCAAAUUUAGUCCAUAUAUUUUCAAUCAAAUCAUUUUUUAAAUGUUGAUGGAUUUGUCUAUUCCGAACGCUCGUUCGACGAUCAAUUGUACUCACGAUAGGUGAAGGCAUAUUGACGGAAAAUGUAGCCACCUUUUCUCUUUCUUCAAAUUCAUGAACGUUGUCCUUAGUUCCUGAUGAUCGUUCAUCUUCGACAAUCAUAUUAUGGAGUAUGAUACAUGCUCUCAAAAUAUUUCCUAUUUUUUUUAUCCCAUAUAUUAGAUGGAUUUCUAACAACGGAAAACCUAGCUUGUAGGACUCCGAAGGCACGCUCGACAUCUUUUUGCACAACUUCUUGGGUUUGAGCGAAUAAUGAAUGCUUCUGACCUUGUGGUAGUCGGAUAGAUUGAAUAAAAGUAUUCCAUUUCGGAUAAAUACCAUCUGUGAGAUAAUAUGCCAAAUGGUAUGGAUUACCAUUAACAUAGAAGUUAACUUGGGGCGCUAUUCCGUUAAUAAUGUCAUCAAAAACGGGUGAUCGAUCGAGAAUAUUAAGAUCGUUCAUAGUACCUGGAGCUCCAAAAAACGCGUGUCAUAUCCAGAGGUCAUAUGAAGCUACCGCCUCUAAGACAAUCGUUGGUUUUCCGGUUCCUCGUGAAUACAUUCCUUUCCAAGCCGUGGGGCAAUUCUUCUACUCCCAAUGCAUACAGUCGAUGCUUCCAAUCAUCCCUGGAAACCCAUGUUGUUCUCCAAUAUAUAGUAGUCUUUGCAGAUCCUCCGGCAUGGGACGUCUUAGGUAUUCAUCGCCAAACAAGUGGAUUAUUCCCGCGGAAAAAUUGUGCAAACUUCUUCGAGCUGUUGUUUCACCAAUUCGGACAUAUUCGUCAACUGUGUCAGACCCACCACCAUACGCCAAUUAACGAAUUGCUGCGGUACAUUUUUUGGAGCGGAGUUAGACUCGACCGUCCGGUUGCAUCUACUCUGGGUUGAAAAUACUCAACUUCUGUAGAGAGACGAUGCACAAUACGCAAGAAUAAUGCCUUGUUCAUUCGAAACUGUCGCCGGAAUACAUUGUGCGGGUAUGUUGGAGUUUCGCUAAAAUAAUCAUUCCAGAGCUUCUGAUGGCCUUCCUCCCGUGUCUCUCGAUAAAAACUCGUGUUUUUCGCUAUUUUGGUUUUGGAUUGAAAUCAAUUUCUUCAAAUAAAUCUUCAAAUACAUCAUCUAAUUCAUUAUCAUCAUCUUUGUGGUAAUGAUAAUGGGAAGAAGAAGCCAUUGACAAUUUUUACAAGAGAAAAAAAUGUUUACAAAUUUAAGAGAAGAUGAGACUUUGCACAUUUGUAAUGAGAGAAGAAGUCUCAAUACUUAUAUGAUAAAGAAGAAGUCUCUACGAGUCCUCCCGUGAAUGAAUAUUGGUAUAAAAUCUUUAGUACAUCUUGUGACUUAUUGGUAGAAAGCAAAAUAAACAUGUGGCUUUGGAUCAUGUGACUUAUUGGUACAAAGAAACUCAACUUGUGACUUAUGGUUGUAAAUGAAAUAAACAUGUGUAUAAACAAUCUAACUUAUUAUGGUUACAUCUUGUAAAAGAAAUAUCGGUUACAAAUAAGAAACUUGAUGUCAUGGUGCAAUCUAACUUAUUAUGGUCACUAUAUGUUACAAAUAAGAAACUUGUGAUCAUGUGACUUAAGGUCAGCCAUUCUAUUUGGUCACGAGCACAAAUAAAAGAGUACAAAACCAUAUCGGUUACAUAGUUAAAAUUAUCCAAACAUAACCACCAAGCCUAUUACAACAACAAGAACAACUAUGCCUAUUACAAAGCACUCAAACCCAUAACUAAAAGAAGAUUUCUCCUUAGCCAUAUCACCCACAAUCUUCUCUAGGUUUUGUAUCUCCUGCUCUGUGUCAUAGUCAGUCAAAAGGGUUAGGCUUUCUACCUUUUCACCCAGCUUAAGCACGUGUAUAUCUCUGGCUCUCAUCUCCUCCAUCAGCGCCUCAUCCCACCAUUUGUAGACAUGGCAUUGGCCGUCGUCUUUCUUCGCACAAGUGUAAUAUCUUCUCCCUGUUUCACAUACGCAAAACUAGCUAAGCACAUACACAAACUAGCACAUAAGCAAGUCAGUAACUAACUAGCACAUACCUUGAUCUUGCCUAGUGUUAGACGUUGCAAGCAGUGGCCUAGCACCACAAUAGCAAACCUGCGGGAAACCAAACUCAACCUCCGGUUGCGGAGGGUAGUGAACCUGUGAACUACGUUCCAAGCUUAACUCAGCUUGGUCACGUCGUAUGAGAUCAUCCGUCUCGCUGUACUCACUGUCGUCAUUGUUUCCAAAUAAAUCCUCGUCAUCUGUGAGUAACGGCUGUGUGGUUUCAGUUUGAGCGUAUGAGUAAAGACUGAAAUGGGAGGUGGAUAGACACAAUGAAUAUGUUGCAGUUAUAUUAAAUUGCUGCAUUCAACUUCUGUAUGAGAGAAAGAGUCAUCGACGUCUGAGAAAUAGAUCUAAGCAUAUUGUGCCUGUGUCGACUGCUAUCAUCACAAAUCAGUCUACUUCUUUUGUUUGCUAUUGAACGUUGUGUCAAUUUAUUCAUAGUCUGAGCAUUUCAAAUUUAUAUCCUAAAUGAUAGGUGUUCCAUAUGUUUUAAGUUUUUCCAUUUCCCGCGCCAAAAAAAUGUUUUUAUAUACAAAUUAUAUAUAUAUAUAUAUGUAUAUAUAUAUAUAUAUGUAUAUGCGUAUAUAUAUAUAUAUAUAUAUAUGUAUAUGCGUAUGUACGUGAUGCAAUGAAUAAAAUCAAAAAUGAGUUUAAAUAUUCGUUAUUAUUAGUGUGUCGGAGGUGCCCAUCAGUUAAUGCCUUUUUUUUUUGUUGGGGGAUCAAUUUCGGUUUAACUUGACUUCAAAAAAGUUUUUCAAAUUUGGUUCUAAAUCGAUUUCUUCAGAUAUUAUUGUAACAGAUCUAUAUAUAUAAAGUAGAUAUUUUCCCUUCUUCUGACAAGUGGCAGGGAGGUUUGCUGCCACGUGUCCUCUUUUAUUUUUUCAUCAAAAUUCACAUGUUUGUUAUAUUAAAAAAUUACCGAUGGAACUUGAAUAAUGCAAAAACUAAGAAAAUUAGAAUAAAUAAACAAAUAACAAAAGAAAGCGAAAUUUUCGAUUCCGAUAGAAUUUCUGAGAAUUUUAGUUAUCUAAUCGUUCUCGCACAAAGAAUCAUUAUAUGAAAUUUGAUAAUUAUUUUAUUGGUCAGUAAAAUUCAAGAUGAAUAAAUAAAUAAUAUAAAUAAUAUAAAUAAUUUUAAAUAUUUAAUUUAUGAACAACUAAAAAUAAUAUUAACUUUCACUAUUUAUUAAUUUUUACUAUUUUCUAUUUUUUAAUUUACAAAUUAAAUAUUUAUUUCACUAUUAAAAAUCAUAAAAUAACUAAACUAAGAAGAAGAAACUGGAGCACAACAUAUGGUCUAAACCUAAAACCUCCGCAACCACCAAAAAAAGGUAAAAUUCCAUAAUAAUACUAACUCAAUAAAGGUCCGAAACUGAAAAGAGAUUAAUAAUGAGGACUAAAUUACCUCAUCUUACUACAUAGUGUUUUAGCUAAAAUAAUCAGAAGUCAGAAUAAAAAAAAAAAAAAAAAAAUCUGAGACAAAACAAUCCUCCGAACACAAAUGUGUGUGAUAGAGUACCAACGCAAAGAACCAAAAAGCAAGCCAGAAGAAAAAUAAUGACCAAAAUGCCAAAGUCAGUACGAAGUAGGAAGGCACAUGCCUAAAGCCCCAAAAGCCCAGCCACCAGCUAAGAGGUAAGAAGCACCUCACAAACUUAAGCAAGACGUCCAUGCCAGCUAAGAACCACAAAACUCUAGAUUAAAAGGACCAAAUCUCCAUGAGAUUAACUCCGUACGCCUAUACCAAGGGAAACAUGGAAAGAAAAGAAACAACCUGAGGGAGCGAGAAUGGUAGCCAACCACCGAGAAACCAGAGCUCAAGCUUGAUACCAUAAACAACCUUCCAAGCCCACCGAGCAUACACAGAGGAAAACACUAUCCAAACCUAGAGUGGAAAACAUGGCAGAAAUGAGAGCUACUAGAGAUGCGAGCAGCAAUGAAAACUGCAACGAGAUGAGAGAACAGUGAGGGAAUGGAAAACAAAAUGAAAUUAGCAAACCGUAGAGCCGUACUCAAGCUAUGAAAGAGAUAAAAGAAGUUAGAUCACGAAAAAAAUAAAAUUUUAAAACCAAGACGAACAGGGACCAUCGACGUCAAGCCAACGACAAUGAAAAAACAUCAACGACGCUUAAACUCUGACCCAACCCAAGAAGAUGCAGUCUCCAACAUCAGCCAAAAUUUAAGGAAGAAAAGGAGCAAUCAAUAUUGACCGAAACAACCUACAAUGCAGUGAGAAAUAACCGCACAACUUGGAACUCAUAGACCCGACCUAUAACAAAGAUGAGAUAAUCUCACAGGACAAGAAGGACAAUAAGAACUCUACUCCAAAACAUAACAAUCAUUCUUGGGAGAAGCACCCGUGAGGUAAAUGAAAUACAAAGAUGGUUAUAGGUAAGGUCAAAAUAUAGAGAUAUGGCUAAAAACAUCUCAAAAAAAUAAUGUUCAAAAUUUUGAAAAUACAAUAAAAUAUAAUUUUGACUCUGAAAUCGUUAAUCUUAGAAUCAACAAAUAUAUAAAUGCAAAGUUAUUGAAACUAAAUAUGUUUUAUAUGAGAGGCUCACGUCACCACUAACAAAUACUAUUAUAUACACGACAACACAUUAUUGAAAAAACAAACACAAAAUAUAUUAACAUAUCACUUACUACUACAUAAUACAGUAAAAAUACAAAUAAUGCUUUUAACAAAUAAAGACGGCUACAUAAUUAUAUCAUCCUGAAAAAUUAUACUUAUUAACAAUAAAACAAUAUUCCACGCGAAGCGCGGACACCCCCUAAUAUAUCAUAUUUUUGAGUUAUGUGUGGUGAUUACUGAUUAGUAAUGUCAACGACCAGAAAAUCUUUUUUUGACGAUGCUAUAUGUGAACUCAUUACUCCACAUUAACUCAUAAGAAGAGGCAAAAGCUUCAUCAUAAAGAAAAGCCAUGGAAAUAGUUAUCGUGAAAAAGAUUUGCAUAGAUAAAAAUGAAAACGAAUAACCACUGAGACAUUGUCUUAGAUAAAAAAGCAAAAAAAAACAAAAGCAAAGUUCAAACUGGAGAAAAUAAACUGAUAAAAUAGAAACGUAGUUGUAAGCUAUAGGAAAAGGUCUUAUUCCACACGUGCCUUCUUAUGGGCACUCUCUUCCAUAGCAAACUGUUCCUCUUCUGCUGCCUCACGGCUGCCAAUUGCACCAUUGGCUGCAGAUCCUCGUGUCACAGUCUGAGAGACUGCCGGUUGAGGGACCUCUUCGGCUUCCUGAAACCAACAUAGCAAUGUUGCUGAUUUAAUAUUUAUAACAUCAGAAACUUUUGAUAAGGGGAAGGGAAAAUCACUCACAGCAAAGCUUGGGGUGGGAGCUAUCUCUGGUGCAGCAAACAUGCGUGAGAUGGUGAAGGUCUGGUGGUUUGCAGUGAAGUUGAAGUCUGUUAGCUUGAGCUGGAAAGUGUAGGUGUUACCAACAAUGACAGUGAGAGUUCGAGGAAGCUCAGUGUCAACAUGGGCACUAAUACCAAUCCCCUGACAAAGUAGUAAAAACAUUACAAAUGUAUUGAGUUCCACAAGCAAUCGUAAACGCUGGAAUGGGUUAAAAAGGACUUACCACAAUCUGCGCAGCUUCGGAAGCUAGCACAUUAGUCAGCUUAGCAACUUCUUUAUCAAAUCCAAGGAAAGACGAUGUGCCAGUCGGGUCUGAAACAGAAAAUACUACCCGAUACUUGUCGGACAUAAAUGAAUUUCAGUAUUUGGUUCAAUGACACAACAAACUUAAAAGGGAAAAAAAUUACUUCAGUUCAGCUACAGCAUUGGUUUCAUUGCAUGAGGGACAGUUGAAUGAAGUUUCCUCACGGAUGAGUUUCUUCGAACACAGAGAGCAGCCAAUAUAGCACCAACCAUCGUCAAGCUGAAUCCCAAUUACUUUAGCCGUGCAAAGGAAUUCGAUGAUCUGUUAAAGGAAAAAAAAACGAUUAAUUAGACAAUUCUAAAAAGGGAGUAACUUCCAAUGUAUCAGUUUGUACCUGAGGUUCAGCAGAGAGAACAAACUCGUUAAGCUCAGCGAUGGUGAGAGGCUCAAUCUUUUGUGCAUGAACCACCUUUGAUGAAGACCCUGUCUCGUCUGCUCCACCACCUGGUAGUCUGUAAGAAGAUAAUACACUACAAGAAAACAUAAUCUUAACGAGGGCGAUUUUCCUCGUGAGUUCGUCGUAAAAGAGGCUUUACGACGAAUUAGCGAGGAACCACGUUGGGUCGUUACUCAUCUGUCGUAACACAUAUUUCCUCGCCAAUUCGUCGUAACGUAGCGAGGAAUAUAUUUCGUCGUAAAGACGAAGUAGAUCAUUUCGUCGUAAAGACCACGUCAACAUUCCACGUAAGGAGGUCGCUAUAUUUCCUCGUAAAUACCUCGAAACAAGUUCCCCGUAAACUACACGUAAAUACCUUGAAAGUGUUUCCUCGUAAAAUACUCGUUUAUCUUUCCUCGUUAUUUCCUCGUAAAUGUUUUCUCGCAAAAUACUCGUUUAUUAUUUCUCGUCAUUUCCUCGUAAGGUUUCCACGUAAAUAGGUCGUACCUUAGCUACGAAUUUACUUCAUUUUUAUUAUUUUACAGAAUUUAAAAAUAUAAUUAAAAAAUAAUUAAAAUUAUUUAAUUUAUUAAUAAAAUUGAAAUUUAAAAUAAAAAUAAAUCAAUAUGAAAAUAUUUUAUAUAUAAAUAAGUUUUGAAUUUAUAAUACAACAACCGGAAAAAAAAAACUAAGAGUCGUUCAUCGCCUGGUAGAAUUCAUCACUCCUCCUCGUAACAUCCGCCUCGUUAUAUACGUCGGAUGACUCGCCUCGAAUGGGAUGUUGUUGUCGCAUGUUCCUCAACAUGGACUUCCAUUCCGGAUUUGUGGCCGCUAUAACGUCCAAGAAGCCCUCGACUCACCGAAGAUCUCUCUGUAAUGGGCAGUAAGUCUUUCUUUUCGAACCUGAGAAAAAAAUUAAAUUUUUAAAAUUAACAUCAACAGUAUAUUUCCCAACAUUAUCCACCUAAUGAACACUAAAUAACAUAAAAUCCGUAAACCUAUCUAAAUUCCCUAUACUAACCACCUAAUCUAUAUUAAACUAACCAAAUUAGAGAGGAAUUAGAGAGACUUACCAUUGCUACGAAAUGGAGAGGAGGUGGAGAGGAAGUAGAGAGGAAAGAAAGAGUGAGGGCUCGGGGGUAUAUAUAAGAUUGCAUAUCGUCGCAAAUUCGUCGUAAGGUUACGACGAAAUAGCGAGCAGUUACAAAGGCCCGUGUUUUUCAAUACGAGGAAAUUACGAGGAAUCGCAAAGGCCCGUGUUUUUAUAUACGAGGUAUUAACGACGAUUUUGCUUACGUGGAAUUAACGAGUCUUGCUUUCCUAUAAAUAUACCCACAACUCUCAUUCUCAAACCACACACAAACUCCCAAAUCACACCCUAUCUGAAAUCACAUUCCUCAGUAAAAUCCUAUUCAAAUUAUAAAUAUUUGAAAAAAUAGGAAAAUGAUAAGAUAUUAGAAUUCAUGUGGGCGAGACUUACGUAUUAUAAUUGCUGGAAGUCUUGCCACAUGUUAAUCUGAUAUUUUUAUCCUUUUCCUUUUUUUUCUAGUUUUUACACUACGAGGUAUUUACGACGAUUUCUACUUACGUGGAAUUAACGAGUGUUAUGUUUAAAUCCUAUUACGUGGUAUUUACGACGAUUUCAUCCAACGUGGUCUUUACGACGAUUUAUGCUUACGUAGAAUUAACGAGUGUUUUGUUUAAAUCCUUUUACGUGGUGUUUACGACGAUUUCUGCUUACGUGGAAUUAACGAGUAUUAUGUUUAAAUCCCUAAAAUCCGAAACCCCCAAACCCCAAACCCCAAACCCAAAACCCCAAACCCCAAACCUGAAACCCCAAACCCCAAACCUCAAACCACGAAACCUCCAAACCUCAAACCCCAAACCCCAAACCCCAAACCCCAAACCUGAAACCCCAAACCCCAAACCUCAAACCCCGAAACCUCUAAACCCCAAACCCGAAACCCGAAACCCCAAACCCCAUAUUCCAAACCCAAAACUCCAUAUUCCUUAUUUUCAUAUAUUCCAAACUCCAUCUUUAUUUUUAAAUUUCGUUGUUAUUUCCUCGUUGGCUUACGAGGUAUUUACGACGAUUUCUGCCUACGUGGAAUUUACGACGAUUUCUUAUACGUGGUCUUUACGACGAUUUUUGCCUACGUGGAAUUUACGACGAUUUCUUAUACGUGGUCUUUACGACAAUUUGUGCUUACGUGGAAUUAACGAGCCUGCGUUCUUUAUUUUAAUAUUUCGUCGUUAUUUCCUCGUUGGCUUACGUGGAAUUUACGAGUGUUAUGUUUAAAUCCCUAGAAUCCAAAACCCCAAACCCCAAACCCCAUAUUCCUUAUUUUCUACUUCAUAUAUUCCAAACCACAUCUUUAUUUCUAUUCCAAACCACAAUUCCUACAUUUACUUAUUCAUAAAACAAACUCCCACAUUACCUUAUUCAUAAAACAAACCCCACAUUAUCUUAUUCAUAAAACAAACUCUCUCAUCUUAUUCAUAAAACAAAUACAUCAAUCGGAUACAUCGACAUUCUCGUCAUCACUAGAAACAUCAUCAUUUUCAUUAAACUCGUCUUCAACAGCUUCGUCUGUGGCAUCAUCGGUAAGAUCUUCGUACUCGUGAUUAUGCGGAUCAAUGAGAAGGAUGUCAUCAAUUUCUUGUUCAGGUUCCUUGACUUCAUUUAUCUGUUCUUCUUGCAAUUGUGGUUGUUCUCCACUGAUGAUUCAUCCUCGAGGUGUAACUUUGAUCACUGCUAACCAAUUUAUACCUGAAUCUCUCAUCCGAGGGUAUGGAAGGAAGCUAACUUGGUCUGCUUGUGAAGCUAAGAUGAAAGGCUCGAAUUUGUUGUACCUUCGUCCACCGUUGACAUCAACUACACCAAAUUUGUUAGACCGAACACCUCUGUUGACGACGGGGUCGAACCAUUCACAUUUGAAGAGGACGCAUUUCAACUUCAGUAUCCCUGGAAAUUCGACUUCAAUAAUCUCCGUCAAGAUCCCGUAGAAAUCUGUUUCCCCUUUCAUCCAUAUUCCAUAGUUACUGGUCGCCCGCUGUCUACCAUACUCAUAUGUAUGAAAAGUAUAGCCUCGUGUGAAAUACAUCUGUGAUGUGGUGACCUUUACAAGUGGAGAUUGAAUUACUUCGUGUAACCACUUAGGAUAAUCUGCAUCUGUGAUGUGGUGACCUUAAAAAAAAAAACGUGUAACACCUACAAAGUUGGUGGAUUCAAAAUUUCCUCGCUAAAUACACAUAAACUAUUUCCUCGUAAAUAACACGCAAAGUUUACGUCGUAUUUACGAGGAAGUAGUUUUUCCUCGUAAAAUACUCGUUAAAUUACAUCCACUUUACGACGAAACACUUUUGUCGUUACGUUACGAGAAAAUAACGAUGACUUUAGUUUUCCACGUAAGUUCCUCGUAAAAUCGACGUAAAUUUACGAGGAUUGUUUUUCCACGUUAAAUUUCCUCGCUAAGCAUGUGUUUUCUUGUAGUGAUACUGACAAAGGCAUCAAAAGGAACAUAAUACAGGGAACCAAAAUAUCUAGUGUAGAAUAUAAAGCAAAGGUCUCGCCUUUCAAGCCGAUCCUUUCCAGCUGAGGUCUCAGAGUCAAAGAAAAUCCUUGAAGCGGAUGUUCCAUUCAAGUAUAACUUGCCUGCCAACAGUAAUGUGGAGUUAUCUAAGAGAACACAAACCACUAUGACUGUUUUAUCACUUUGACAAAUGAGGCUACUUUAAAUGGAAUGCUCUUCUACCCGAUACAUCACUGCAAAUAAUAUGAGUAACAUUGUCAGACAGUGUAGAUAGAGUAAACGAUAAUAACAAACAGAUACAAUAACACACAAAAUACCUCUCCACACGAAGAGUAAGCAUCACGCGUUGUGCUCCGGGUAAACGGUCCGUGAUGGUGCUCCUAAUUGCACGAACCUCCCCAAUAACAUCUGAGGUAUUAUAUUAUGAUAAGUUACAGUGCGAAAUGAGAAAAAAAAAUCUAAUAUUAAGGAAAGAAAUACCUGGGAGCUGUCUAGAGGUGUUUGCUAACUCAAGAAUCUGUCCAUGUGGUCGGAAGCGAAAAUGUUCUGUAGGUAUGGUUCUAGCAGUGGCAGCAAGCUUCUCAAAAUCAGUUCCUUCAUUGAAAAGGAUGGAGUCAGGGCCAUCAGUCAACUUGAAUUUCGGGUUGCUGCGUGUAACGUCAAACCGGCUGAGAGUGUAAACUGAUCUUUCAGUAAGACGUUCCCUGAACUUACGUUGGUGAACAGCAGGAACACACCCUUGAACCAUGGUAUCCUGUUGAUAUCAAAGUAGAGAAACAUCAGUUAAUCAAAUAAGCUUAACUGUCAAGAGAGCUAAUCGGAAAAAAUUAAAAGGAAAGUGAAAAUUUCUUAAAAAUCUGAAUUAAAAUUAUAACGAAUGUGAAUUAUGUUUCUGAAUAAAUUAAAUUUUUUUGCAAACAGAUCAACGUCUUUGAUGGAAGUCAAUAAAAAAAUAUUUAAAAAACUUUGAAUCUUGAACAUAUAAAAUCGGGGGGAAGAACACUUACAGCCUCAUCGAUGAGCAGCAUCUCAAUACUCAUCAGCUCCCCUCCUUUGUUGAUAUUUCUGGCCUCCCAGAACCUCAGCAAGCGGACCUCAGCAGUAUUAGAGCAUCGACCGGCUCUCAAAUUCGCAAGCAGAGUGUAUGAAUUCGCCAUCUGAAUAUGUUGCUUCUAGGAGAUCGUAUGUUUGAGCAAAUUGUUUCAGAUGCGAGGUGAAGGGAAGUGAUGGCCGAUAUUUAUAGAUGGAGUUCGAGGCGGUUUGAGGGUGAACGAAGAGAUAUAUCGAAAUCAUUAUGCAUGAAAAGUGGAUUAUUGAAUGGAAAACUCAGAAUAAAUGUAGGGCAAAUCUCCAAAAUAGCACAUUUCUAAGUUUAUAUCACAAAGUUAGCACUCAAAAACUAAAAUGACCAAAAUAGCACCUUUCUAAGUUUAUCCUUUGAAAAUUUUAAUUUUUUUAUUUUUCAAAAUUUGAAAUCUUAUCCCCAAAACCUCAUUUCUCAACUCUAAACCCUAAACUCUAAACCCUAAACCCUAAACAAUAAACCAUAAACCCUAAACCCUAAACCCUAAACUCUAAACCCUAAACCCUAAACUCUAAACUCUAAACCCUAAACCCUAAACCCUAAAUCCUAAACCCUAAAUCCUAAACCCCACCCUUUAAUUCUAAACCAUAAGUUUGUGACUUUUGAUAAAACAUUAAGUGCUAUUUUUGUGACUUUUGACCUUGAGUGCUAGUUUGGGAACAUAAACUUGAUUUAGUGCUAUUUUUGUCUUUUUCUCAUAAAUGUAAGAGUAAUGAUUCUGGGACGUUUUGGUUUCUAUGGUUUCUCUGCAGGGUGGAGGCACGGAAGAAGAAGGAGAAUGACGCAGGGGAAAAUAACCUUAAAAAUUUAUGGGCCUAUACUAAUCAUACAUAAGCCCAAACAAUUUGUUUCUGAUGCCCAAAUAUCGGGCCUCCCCGUGACGCGCGAGCAAGGAAGACAGCGUACAGACCACACUACGCUCUAGGCCUGAAGGGAGAGCGUGGGCUACACAGACGUCCUACCGAGCUGACACGUGUCAACAAAAACCCCAACCUAUUUUGGUGUCGUGGAGGACUGUGUGCAUCACACAAAUCAACUUUAUUAUAUAUAGAUUUCAAACUCUUAUUCAAAUGUCACUUAUUCUAAAAUCAUACAUGACAGUGUUAGAGGCCUCGACCACCAAAUUAAAUAAAUCAUAAUUUUUAAGCUCAGAUUUUAAUAAUGAAUAUAGGUCUCAACCUUCAUUUUUAGUUUGAAUUUAUAAUAUAUUGAGUAGAUUUAGAAAAAAAUGAUACGUUUAUAAUAACUGCAACUUUUUAUAUGCUUGGUUUUAUAUUUGUAUAGCUUGAUUUUAAAUAUACAUAUAUAUAUAAAUAUGGGCGAAAAUCUUUCUAAUAACAAGAUUUACUUCAUUUUAUAGUUUCUAUACUAUUAAACACACAAAUUUGAUCACAUCCAUAAAUCAAUAUGACUUUUUAACUUAAGAGACACUUCAGAAAAUCAUCUGUUAAAAACAAAUUCUAUAUUUUACACUAUUUUUUAUAAAAAGAAUUUAUAGUAAAAUCUGUUAUUUAAAAUCUACUAAAACUUACAAACCUAUAAUAUUAAAUUAAUCAAAAAUAUGCCACGUAAUUCUUAAGUCUCACCAUCUCAGCAACAAAUGCAGUUCUUAUAAAAUGCACACAAGCAAUAAAACGAGAGACUGGACAUUCGGGUCUUCAUGCCAGUACAGAUCGGUUCCUUUUGAGUUUGGGUUCCUUGGGUCCUAAACAAUUGAAUAAUUGGGUAUUUGAAAACUUUUGGUUCGUCUUCAGGUUGGUCUUUUUCAGGUUGAAGUUAGAGCAGGUCCAUAAUUUGAAUAACUGUAAUUUUUGGGAAUGUGGCGGGUCUAGAUUGGUUUGGAUAUUUAGUACCGAAAAAGAAUCAAAGUAUUCAAAAACCGAGAAACUGAAAAUACCCAAAUCUUUUUCCAAGUACCCAAAAUACACUUUUUAAAAAUUUGGAAUUUCAACUGAAACCCGAAAUUAUAAUCGAAAACAAAAACCAAAUUUUUUUUUAAAAAAAGUAUAUAUAGUACCAAAAACCUAUCCAAAAUAUCCAAUAUACCUAACAUACACAAAAAAAUUUGAAGUACUGUAAGUACCCGAUCGGGUUUCGGGUAUGAACCAGACCCGCUGGUCCAAGAAUAAAAUCUAAUAUGUACUUUGCCUUUGACCCAGACCCAAACUGUACCAAUAUUGUAUGAUCGAUUUCGGUUUAUUUUUUCGGUUCCGGAAAAAUAUCCAAAUGUAAACGAAAGAAAGAGUUACAUAAGAGUGUACAUACAAAAAAUUUAAUAAACUAAUUCAUAAAUUAUAUAAUUUUAAUUAAACUUUUUAGGUAUAAUAUGACUCUAUAACAUGAUAAUAUACAAAAACUAUAAAAAACUAAUUCACAAAUUUUAUUUACAACCUAAAGAACAACCCGCGCUUUCUAAGCGAGGAUCAAAAGGAUUAUAAUUUUAGAAACAUUUAACUCAUUUUGGUGAUCAUUAAGAGCACACAAUCAAACCCAAAACUUGUCUUUUGUAUGAGCUGUGAAAGUUGUUGAGAAAGGUGCUCUAAUUUUCUGUUUGGUUGAUGGUAAUUUAUUAGUGAUUUUGUGUUUGUGUCAUGGUCAUAUAUAUAUGGUCCGGUAAGGUUCUUUAGUUCUUACAUUUACUGGUGAACAUGUUCUAGGUCGAUAAAGCAGAUCAUAAAAAAUAUAUUAUUUAAUUUUCUCAUCAGAGUUAUUAGCAAAGUGAUACUUCCUCUGUAUUUUAAACCGUUUGUUCUUGUGGUGCCAUCUUAAAACGGAUUGGUUUCAAGUUUGUAACUCUUGAUGUAUUUUAUUAUGCUUCUGUUUGCAGCACUUCGGGCUGUCCUUUCGGAGAGAACUGCCAUUUCUUGCAUUACGUACCCGGAGGAUACAAUGCUGUAGCAGCUGACAAACAUGACACCACCCAUGCCUCAAGUUUCAAGAAACAUGCAAGGGAGAUUCUCAGGGAGAGGAGACUCUGGUCCUGGCCACCUCUCUAGCUUUGGUGCCUCGGCCACUGCAAAAAUCAGCGUGGAUGCUUCAUUGGCAGGCGCAAUCAUUGGAAAAGGUGGAGUCAGUUCCAAACAGAUAUAUCGUCAAACAGGGGCGAAGCUAACGAUUCAAGAUCACGAGAGGGACCCGAACCUGAAGAACAUUGAGCUUGAAGGAACGUUUGAGCAGAUAAACGAAGCGAGCGUGAUGGUUAGAGAGCUGAUUGGGAGGCUCAACUCGGCAGCUAGGAGACCACCAGCUGGUGUUGUUGGUGGGGUUGGUUCUGAAGGGAAACCGCAUCCAGGGAGCAACUUCAAGACGAAGAUGUGUGAGAGAUUCUCUAAAGGAAGCUGUACGUUUGGUGAUAGAUGUCACUUUGCACACGGGGAAGCGGAGCUACGCAGGUCAGGAAUCUCCUCCUGAGUUAUUAUUGCUGGAGUUAGAAGAGAAGUUUACUUGCAAAACAAGUCUCUUCCUUUUGUGCUCAAUUCACGUCUUCACCUACUUACUUUUUUUUUGUGCUGUUUUCUUUUGUUUAUGAGAAUACAAUGUUAGUUUCAUUGUCAUUGUAUGUUUUUUUUUUAGAAUUUAGUUUUUGUUAGAUCAAGUUUGGGAGGUUUCAUGAAUGAUAUUCACAACAAACAGUGGCUAGGAUUUGUAUGCUGCCUUUAUUUGAUUAUCUCCAUAUCAUCUGGUCAUAUGAUUUUCUGAAUAUGUUGAGGGUUUUUCUUGUAGUAGAAAAAAUAUCUAUAGGACAAAUAUAAUCAAUUUCGUGCAUGUUUAACGGUUCUUCCAGUUCAUCAAGUGAUAGAGCCAUUAAGGCUUGGUCCAUCGACCCCAUGGCAUCAAAGUCUACAUUAGUGGAGUUUUCAGAUCCAUAAACAUCCGUUGGUCUUCCUUGCCUUGUUGGCUUUAGAAAAUGUUUAAAGAGAAAAAAUAAAAUAAAAAUAAAAAAGUUGUAAAAAUCACGUAUUAUUGCUUUGUUGGCUUUAGAAAAAACAACACAAAAGAAGAUAGAGAAAAUUUUAAAGACUUUAGAGAUUUAGGAUGAUUAUUUUUUAAAAAAAGUCUGAUUAGUAUAGGUGUAUAAUUUUCGUUUGACAAUUGUCAAAAAUAUCUUAUGUGGAUCUAAGUACACUUCCUUAUGUAUUUUCGUUUGUUUGUUUGUGCAAAGUGCAACCAUACUUCGUUGCGUCCAAUACACCACUAAAAAUAACACUCCUUUUCUAGUGGUGCACUUUUUUUCAUUUUUGUGGUUAUUCACAAUGAAAAUUGACAACCUUGUGUAAUAUUAGGGUGCCAACUCAACUGCCAAGGUUCUUUAACAAAAAAAAACGAAAAAUAAUAUAGCGAAAAAGUUAGCCAAUCAAUUUAAAGACAUGUGUAAUCUAUAGUUUAACUCUAAAAUAUAUUAUUUACAUUUUUAAAUAAUCAUAUAAAAAAUGCUUCAACUCCUAAAAUUUCAUCAGGAACAAUAGAAAAAAAAACAAUUAAAAAGAAGCAAAAUCAGACCAUUUUAUUCAGCAACUUUCCUUAGCUGCAUUUUAGAAAACAUGACAGUCAAUAAAACAGAGAUCGCAACUCUAGUUUCAACUUAUGCCACUGCAAAAAGUCAACCUUUUUGGACGGAUAAAUGGUAGAAAGACCAGAAGACCCACACACCGGGGCCCAUAUAUUGACAGCGUGGCAUCACAGAAGCCCACCAGCCAAACUAUCUCGUUCUUGUCCGGUCUUUCCUAGUUUCAUCGUCUCUCACCGGUUUGUCUCUCCACGCUUCUCUUACCUGCGUUCGAUUCCGUAAUCUCGACUCCGAAGUCUAACUCUUCGUCUGAGAGACGAAGACCGCUCGUCUCAGAGAAGGCGUUUUCCAGACUCCCUGCGACGACGACGAGAUUACCGCUGCUUGGCUCGCACCUAAAGACGUUCCUCCUCAGAAGAUGUCAUGUGUUGUUGUUCAUAUUGCAGGUAGCACCAUUACAGAUAGAUUCUUGUGUAUUUCAAGUAUGAAUCUCUUUAUUCACAUGGAAACAGAUUCCAUAGUUAUAGAACUAGUUGCUCUGCUCUAUGGUGGAAUGGCUUUUUCUAAUUGUUUAUGUGAUCUUCAUCUGUGCACGCACACCAGCUUAUGGGAUAAUAUUUAUUACAAUAGUUAUUCAGUUUGUAAAUAUCAUAUCUUGGUGCAUUGCUUGUAGGGACAGGUGAUCAUACAUAUGACAGGAGAUUGCGUCUAGGUUGACCUUUGGUGAAGCAAAACAUUGCAACAAUGGUGCUGGAGAGGUAAUCAGAGAGACUCUUUCUCUCUCUCUCUCUCUCUCCUGUGACUUGAAAUCUUCUUUUUGCUUUGAUCAAACAUUAGAUAAAUCCCCACUGCAUCCCUUUCUCCUCUGUGUUAGUGAUCUACUUUUACUAGGGAGGGCAACGAUCGAAGAGUCUCGCAGUCUUCUUAUUCACUGGCUAGACACCGAGGAAGGCUUUGGAAAGAUGGGUGUUUGUGGGCGCGUAGUAUGGGUAAGCCAUGAAACUAACUUGUGAACUAUUGCAUCUCACAUCAAGUGACUGACUGACUUGUUCUUUGCUUUCACAGAAACUUGAAAAAAUGUUAACGGAGGAGUACAACACUUCCCUACCUAUCUCCACACUCUGCAGUUGUUGCGUUCAUACUAAAGCAUGGAAGCGCUUUGGAGGCACCAAGGGAAGAACUUGAAGCGCAGAAGAUCACAAUGAUUCUUGACCAAGUGAGAGAGAGAGAGAGAGAGGAUGAGAACUAUUCUCUCCCUCACUUCACUGAUGAGAGAAAUCCUGAAGCUGUCAUGUUUGUUGCUGCAACUGUAAGUAGAUAAAUCAAUCCAUACAUUUCUGAUGAUGAUGGUGAUUAUCUUAUACGAUUGUGUGUAGGAUGAUGGAUACAUAACAAUGACGAGUUUCGCAGGGCGAUAAUGGACGGUCUCGAUAGAGUAGACUGGAAGGAGUCAUGGUGACUGUCGUCAUACCAUUGUAACACAACUCCAUCUGCCUUUUUCUCACAACCUCUGUCUCCUUAUGCCUUGUUACAAUUUGGUUUAAUCGUGAAGAAAAGUGACUCUUUGUGGGUUUUUUUGCUUCAAGCUAGGUAUGUAUAACAUUUUUGUCCCCACAUUUUGAAUCUUCUUCGAGCAAUUAGAGCUAAUCUGCUCAUUGAGCUAUAAAGCUGUUGAGGGUCCUGCGUUAUCGAAUACUGUUGCAGCUAGUUUUAGGCACGUAAUUUUAAAAAGUUAGGGUUUUUGCAAUUUAUUGACUCUUUGUAAUUCUCACAGGGUCGGCAUGCGUUGGUGUAUGAUAUAAACGCAAUAAAUGAAACGUGGGAAUGGGUUGAUCUCAAGGAGGUAAGCUUUUGACAUGAUGAGGAUCUUUGAUAAGAGCUGACAUUGUUUUUUUGUUUGUAGAUACCACCUGAAGAUAUAAGGUGGGAUGAAAAGAGGAUAGUGGGGGUAGCCUUAAACACUGGACCUGGAAGUGGAUCAAUCCGUGGCAACCGAAGAAACCAAGGCCACAUUGGUAGAGGGAGAGGACCAAGAAUUCAUCAGCCGAGAAGAGAAUUUUUGCCACCACCAACACAACAGAAUGGUGGUGGUGGUGGUGAUGAUAUUGAAUUGUUCAACACAGACUUGCUUGUGAAGGAGGUUAGGUUUCUGUAUGUAUUGUGUCCAUUAAGCUUAGCGGAUGUUCUAAAGAUCAAAGCUUUGUUUUAGGUGGAGAGAGUUUUCGAUGCUACGCAUCCUGAUCCAUUUGAGCUUGAUAAGGCGAAGAAAAUGCUCAAGGUUUGAGACUAAGACCAUGAUUAACCCGGGGUUCUUAGAGUGAGGUUCUUAGCGGAAGUUAAGAAACUAUUUCUUAACUUUUAACUAAAAAAACUAAGAACCGGUUCUUAAAGUCCUUAUUUAAGAACCGGUUCUUAACUUUUUUAGUUAAAAGUUAAGAAACAGUUUCUUAACUUGAGGUAAAAACCUCAUCCUAAGAACUCCGGGUUAAUCAUGCUCUAAUAUUCUUUCUCUCGGCUAUUGCGAGUUGGUUUAAUGUUGUGGUUUUAGGAAAAUAACACAAAAGUUGUGUGAUGGCAGGAACAUGAACAGGGCGCUUAUGGCUGCCCUUGCAAGGCUUGCUGAUACUUCUGAUGGUGAAAUUGGUAAUAAUAUAAAAAGGCAAGGUUUCAUUUUGUUUGCAAUCUCAGAAUAGUCUUGUAUUUUAUCGUUCAGUUGUCUGCUAUGAUGAUAAUUUUUUAAGGAUAAAAUAGCAAACCGAAUCCCACCAAUAAAAGCUUUAUCACCUACUUUGCUCAAACUCGAUAGUAUCUAACCUGCAAAUACAUGAAUUGCUUUAAAAAAAUGGGUCUUGUUCUGGAACUUUGGACUGUGUGCUUCUCUAUUGCAGAAACAUGAUAUGAUUUUUAAUGGGUUUCCUGCCACCAGAUGGAGAUCCACCAUAUUCGCAUGACCAUCCAAUGCAUCAGGGAUGAAAGAAAAGCUGUCUUUUAACUGAACCCACCAAGGACACAAGAUGGAAAUGAGCUAAAUGUAUGUUAUGUUAAGUUAGGAUCGGGACGUAGUAAGAUUCUCUGUAAAGCAACAAUAUUUUUUUGGUUUUUAGAGAAUUUAACCUGUGACUAAUGAUUGAGCCAUGUAAAAUGUUUGUUCCGGAGUCCACCUCCAUCAGACCUGCCAUCAAAACGCAUACAGUUUAUGUGUUCUGUUAUAUGGUUCUUCAAACAUCCAUGCAUUAUACAAUACAAAAUCAAAACUGCCAUGCUAUGUGUGACUUACAGAAAACACUUGCUGCCCCCUUUGUUUUUUUGCAUUCAUCUUCGAUCAAAGUUGUUGCUUGCUGAAGCAUGGACACCAGUUUGCGGCGGCGAUUACGUUCUAAUCCCUAGGAUAUUUGAAUUAGGAUAAAUCAGGUUCCGGACAUACAAACAUAUUAAAAAACAGCGAUGGAAACGUAAUAUAGCUCAUGAAGGUUAAUGAUUAUAAUAUUUUUAAAAGAAGAAGAUUAACCUCCGGAAGGAGAGAAACACGCCGUAGAGAUUUGGCGGGAUCGAGUUUCACUAAGGUUUAGAGAAAUCACACGAUCGAGAGAAGAAGAUGAUGCGAUUGCUUUUCGUCCAAGUCAUGAAGGAGAGAGGAUGGUUAGACGUCGUCGACGAUAAUAGAACCAAAGAAGCAAUGUUGACCUCUUUCUUCUUCUUCUCUCAACGAAAGAAGCAAUUUUUAAUAAGGCUUUAGUGAUUUAUUCAAAACGAAGAUAUGUAAAUUAUAUAUGUUUUGUACAUAGAUAUAUCAGCCAAACUAAGCAACGUAUAACUCAAUAUCAUAGUUCAAACUACGACCAUAUAAUAUAAAAAAGUAGCAAAAGGUUUAAAAUUAAUAAUGAUAAUCAAGAAAAAACAAGUGCUAUAAAAAUAUAAUAUUAGGCUCCACUUGGUAAAUCAUCAAAAUGGAAAACCUUUUCAAAUGUGGGUUUUAUGAACCCACUCUAGUAAUACCAUGGACAUUUCAACACUACUUAAAAUUACUAAAUUAAGAUCUGAAAAUAUUAUAUGUAUUAUAAAAGAGAUGCUCUCUAAGCUUCUUAUUACUCAUGACCAGAGGUCUAUAUUUAUACAAGUAUUAUACCGUCUUAUUUAAACCGUCAUAAGAGAAAAUGAAAUCAUAUUCUUAAUAGUACUUAUCCUAAAUACAUAUGGAAAAGGAUAAACAUCAAGUAUAGAUAUAUGUAAACUCUCAUUCGUCUAAGUCAUUAGCGAAUGGGCCGGAUGGAUAGCUGAUGAGCCGGACGGUUUGAACCUAAUAUGAGUCGAUCACCACUUGGUUUAUAACAAUAUGACGGUUCUAUAACCAACAUACUUUAGUUGGUUUAUUAGGAUUAAUGCAUGAUAGUUUUACUUUCACUAUAGUGUGAACCAUACUUUUGACUGAAUUAGAAAUCAUAAAGUCUUACAAAUCCAAAUAGUAUAAAUAAAUAAUAACUAACUUCUAAUCAAAUCAUAUCAGGACUAAAAUGACUUUUUGUGUUAGGAAUCCAUAAUCCCAAAUAUUGGAAACCUAUGGACAAUUUUCACUAUGAAUUCAUACAAAGAAUAUGCCUUUAUUUAUCAGUAUCAAAGUAAAACCACAAAACUACAGAGAGUCUACUAAUAAUAAAUCUCACAAUUUGUGGUUUUUUUCUUUUAAUUAUUUUCACAUUUUUUUUUAAUUUUUAAUAAUAUGAAGUCAUUAGGCCAUCGGUAUCGGGAGCCCUUAGGCCCGUCCCGUAGAUAUAAAUGGGUCGAGAAUAAAUGAAAAGGAAAUUAAAAGAGAGUGGGACGGGCUUUUAGUAAGGGCUAUUCGGGCUCGUCCCGUAGGCGACAUGGCAGCACGGGAGUGGGCAAUGGAAUCAGUGACUUGUUCGGCUGUUGUUCUCCUCGAGAAUUCUGAAAUCGAAAUCAAAAACAAAAAUCAAAAGCUCGAUGGCGAUGGCGAUGGCAAAGCCUUGAUCUCCAAAUCCAUCUCUUCAAAUCGAAAGCCAACCCUGCGUCUUCUCUCUUUCACUGGAGUGGGAGAUCUCUUUAUCUCCGUUGGCGAGGUCGCAGCUUCUGUCGUCGUUUGAUCCCCAGAUCCUCCUCCAAAGCUCAAUCCACAUCGGCUCGCUUCCGUUCCAAUACGACGAGAACCAAUCCUCCCCAAAACUUUUGAGAAUCGUCCCAAUCUUAACAAGGUUUGUUUUUCAAGUCCGAUCUGAUUUCAAAUUUUUUUUUAGGGUUUUGUCAAAAUUCGGUGAAUAAAAUGGUAUUUAUCCGAUGUUGUUUAAUAGAUUUGAUGGCAAAAAGAUAUAGAUUCAUUGGUUUGAGAACAAUUGUGUAGAUUCUAGGGUUCGGCAAUUUAUGAUAGUUCGUAUAGAUUUCAAAAGCUUUCUAUGGUUCGAUUGUAUGAUUGUUUCGUUGUAGCUUGUGUGAUUGUUUCGUUUUGAUUGUAUGAUUGUUUAGUUGGUAAAAAACAUCCUUGUUCGAUUCAAAUUUCUAUGUUCGAUUGUUUAGUAUAGAUUUGAACAACUGUAUGAUAGUUCGUAUAGAUUUAUAUGGUUCGAGAUCAAUUCUUUAACUGGUUUAGAGUUUGAUAUGUGUGCAAAUUCAAAUCUGUGAAAAUAAGCUCAUGUCAUUUGUAUAGAUUUGAUUCGUAUAGACUAAUAGUUUAGAGUUUGAUUAGUAUAGAUUUAAAUAUCUCAUGUCAUUUGUCUUGAUUAGCUUUCUUCAUGAGACUUUGCAUUUUCAAUAGUUCGUAGUUUAUAGAUUAAUGUUUUUUUUAAUCUUGCAUAUAGUAAUGCAUUCAACUGAUUGUUUCUCUGUCUUGUGUUAGACAUUUUGUGGUUAGAAAUAUUAAAUGUUAGAUAUAUAUUUAAGCCACUGAUGUUUUAAAAGAAAGUUGAUAGCUUUUUAGUUGUGUAAUAAGUUGGGAUUAGACAUUUCUUAUUCGGAGUUUGCCAUUAAGGCAGUGAUGUACUUUGUAUUCUUCACUUCCUCCUAUUUAAAUCUCUUAUCUUUUCUCUCUUCUGUCAUCUCAUUAGUCUUUCUCCAAGAAAUCUCUUAUAUUUUCUUACUGUUAUGGAUCCAAGCAAUCUUCGUAGCCAGUCCUCUAGAUACGUAGGACUGCUUCACAGUCAACAAGGUAGCGUUUUCCACGAAAACUUUCCUUAUGAAAGUUUUCAUUCUAGUGUUAACUUUGGAGAAUCAUAGACUUUUCCGGCUUUCAGUUCACAACAAUCUCAAGACGCACCAGUAGAGACACCAGUACAGACACCAGCAGCCCAUGUUGUAAGACACAAAUGGAAUCCAGCAGAUGACGAGGUGCUGAUCAGUGUGUGGCUUAACACUUCCAAGGAUGAUAUUGUUGCAAAUGAGCAGAGGUCGGGGGCCUUCUGGAAAUGGGUUGCUGCUUAUUAUGCAUCAAUUCCUCAUGGAAGAGAGGAUGGUGUGAGAGAGCACGGUUGUUGCAAGAAGAGGUGGCACAGAAUCAAUGAAGAUGUUAACAAGUUCUGUGCCGUAUACUCGGCAGCAGAACGACAAAUGAGCAGUGGUGAGACUGACACUGACGUUCUGAAGAAGGCGCAUGACAUUUUCUUCUCUGAUCAAGAGCACAAGUUCACACUUGAACAUGCUUGGUGUGUGUUGAGGUAUGAACAGAAGUGGCUCAGCCUUAACACACCCACGGCUGGUGGCGUUUCGAAGAGGAAGAAUGUGCAGAUAAAUUCCCAAACUUCUACCAACGAAGGCUUCGUUGAUGUUGAGAGCAGGCCCAGAGGUGUCAAGGCUGCUAAGGCUAAAAGAAAUGCGGGUAAAGGGAAGUCCGUGGCUGAGAUUGCGACCGUUUGGGAAAUGAAGAAGGACGAUUUGGUGAGGAAGGAGAGACUGUCGAGGCUAGCAAUACUAGACACUCUCCUUGCCAAGACUCAACCAUUGAGUGAGGCGGAAGAAGCUGUGAAGAAUAAGCUCCUAGCCGAGUUAUUCUGAAAAAAAUUAAGAAGACGAUGUCUCUUUAUGUCUUUAAUUUUCUGUAUGCUCUAUGUUCUUGUUUGGUGUUUGCUCUAUGUAGUUCCGGUUUCCUUAAAUGGGUUUUUAUAAAUGAAUCAUUUUCUUUUAAUGUGUUUGCUCUAUGUUUGUGUAUAGCUCUUUGUUUCUAACUGUAUAGAGCUCUUUGUAAAUAAAUGUGUAUAGCUCUAUGUUUGUAACUGUAUAGCUUUAUGUGUAUCUAAUUUAAAUUUCGACAAUGUAUGCAUGUUAAGUAAAAAUGGGACGUUACAGCUAUACGCAGCCAUCAGAUGACGAGGAUUUAUUUGGAAACAAUGACGACAGUGACUACAGCGAGACGGAUGAUCUCAUACGACGUGACCAAGCUGAGCUAAGCUUGGAACGUAGUUCACAGGUUCACUACCCUCCGCAACCGGAGGUUGAGUUUGGUUUCCCGCAGGUUUGCUAUUUUGGUGCUAAGCCACUGCUUGCAACGUCUAAUACUAGGCAAGAUCAAGGUAUGUGCUAGUUAGUUACUGACUUGCUUAUGUGCUGGUUUGUGUAUGUGCUUAGCUAGUUUUGCGUAUGUGAAACAGGGAGAAGAUAUUACACUUGUGCGAAGAAAGACGACGGCGAAUGCCAUGUCUACAAAUGGUGGGAUGAGGCGCUGAUGGAGGGGAUGAGAGCCAGAGAUAUACAUGUGCUUCAGCUGGGUGAAAAGGUAGAAAGCCUAACCCUUUUGACUGACUAUGACACAGAGCAGAAGAUACGAAACCUAGAGAAGAUUGUGGGUGAUAUGGCUAAGGAGAAAUCUUCUUUUAGUUAUGGGUUUGAGUGCUUUGUAAUAGGCGUAGUUGUUCUUGUUGUUGUAAUAGGCUUGGUGGUUAUGUUUGGAUAAUUUUAACUAUGUAAUCAAUGUAUUUUCUCGGAUGUAACCGAUAUGGUUUUGUACUCUUUUAUUUGUGCUCGUGACCAAAUAGAAUGGCUGACCAUAAGUCACAUGAUCACAAGUUUCUUAUUUGUAACAUAUAGCUCGUGACCAAGCUGACCAUAAGUGACAUAUAGUUUCUUUUACAAGAUGUAACCAUAAUAAGUUAGAUUGUUUAUAUACAUGUUUAUUUCAUUUAUAACCAUAAGUCACAAGUUGAGUUUCUUUGUACUAAUAAAUCACAUGAUCCAAAGCCACAUGUUUAUUUUGCUUUCUACCAAUAAGUCACAAGAUGUACUAAAGAGUUUAUACCAAUAUUCAUUCACGGGAGGAUUCAUAGAGACUUCUUCUUUAUCAUAUAAGUAUUGAGACCUUCUCUCAUUACAAAUGUGCAAAGUCUCAUCUUCUCUUAAAGUUCUAAACAUUUUUUUUCUCUUGUAAAAAUUGUCAAUGGCUUCUUCUUCCCAUUAUCAUUACCACAAAGAUGAUGAUGAUGAAUUAGAUGACGUAUUUGAAGAUUUAUUUGAAAAAAUUGAUUUCAAUCCAAAACCAAAAGAGCGAAAAACACGAGUUUUUAUCGAGAGACAUCGGGAGGAAGGCCAUCAGAAGCUCUGGAAUGAUUAUUUUAGCGAAACUCCAACAUACCCGCACAAUGUAUUCCGGCGACGGUUUCGAAUGAGCAAGGCAUUAUUCUUGCGUAUUGUGCAUCGUCUCUCUACAUAAGUUGAGUAUUUUCAACCCAGAGUAGAUGCAACCGGACGGUCGAGUCUAACUCCGCUCCAAAAAUGUACCGCAACAAUUCGUCAAUUGGCGUAUGGUGGUGGGUCUGACACAGUUGACGAAUAUGUCCGAAUUGGUGAAACAACAGCUCGAAGAAGUUUGCACAAUUUUUCCGCGGGAAUAAUCCACUUGUUUGGCGAUGAAUACCUAAGACGUCCCAUACCGGAGGAUCUGCAAAGACUACUAUAUAUUGGAGAACAACGUGGGUUUCCAGGGAUGAUUGGAAGCAUCGACUGUAUGCAUUGGGAGUGGAAGAAUUGCCCCACGGCUUGGAAAGGAAUGUAUUAACGAGGAAUCAGAAAACCAACGAUUGUCUUGGAGGCGGUAGCUUCAUAUGACCUCUGGAUAUGACACGCGUUUUUUGGAGCUCCAGGUACUAUGAAUGAUCUUAAUAUUCUCGAUCGAUCAUCCGUUUUUGAUGACAUUAUUAACGGAAUAGCGCCACAAGUUAACUUCUAUGUUAAUAGUAAUCCAUACCAUUUGGCAUAUUAUCUCACGGAUGGUAUUUAUCCGAAAUGAGCUAAUUUUAUUUAAUCUAUCCGACUACCACAAGGUCAGAAGCAUUCAUUAUUUGCUCAAACCCAAGAAGUUGUGCGAAAAGAUAUCGAGCGUGCCUUCGGAGUCCUACAAGCUAGGUUUCCCGUUGUUAGAAAUCCAUCUAAUAUAUGGGAUAAAGAAAAAAUAGGAAAUAUUAUGAGAGCAUGUAUCAUACUCCAUAAUAUGAUUGUCAAAAAUGAACGAUCACCAGGAACUGAGGACAACGUUCAUGAAUUUGAAGAAAGAGAAGAUGUGGCUACAUUUUCCUUCAAUAUGCCUUCACCUAUCGUGAGUACAAUUGAUCGUCGAACGAGCGUUCAGAAUAGACAAGUCCAUCAACAUUUAAAAAAUGAUUUAAUUGAAAAUAUAUGAGAUAAAUUUAGACAUCUUACACAUAACAAAUAAUUUAUAAGUUUUUAUUUGUAUUGAAAUAAAUGUUUGUGUGUUUUUUUUUAUUAUGAUGUUUGGUAUUUUUUUCUUUUCAACUUUGUAAUUUUCUUAAGAUUUUAAUUUUAAUGUUAAACUUGUUUUUUAUAUGUUUUAUUUAAAAUUUCUUUUAUAUGUUAUUCAUUAUUAAAAUAAUAAAUUAAUUAAAUAAUAAUCUAAGGGACCAGCAAAAUCCCACUAAUAAUCUACCAAAUUUUUUAAUGUCUUUAUCUUAGGUCCCUUAACAUAUGAUCUUAGUAAAAAAAAUGCUAAGGCCUGUAAGUUGAGUCCCACCGAUAAGGAUGCCCUUACGUCUCCAAAAAAACAGGGGAAGAAGGUCGCAUCUUGACUUUCUUCCAAUCGUUUGAGCAAGCAGAGCUUUUGAGACUUGGGUGCUAAAAUGGCAGCUCUUUCAACGGUUCUGUCUCUUGGUUUCGGGUCACUUCGCCGCCCUUGGCGCCUUUCCUUCUUCUCCUCUUUCAAUUCGCUCCGGCAACAACAGACCUCACUUCUCCGAUGCCAAAGUCUCGUCCUUUCGAGGUCUCCGCUUAACAGGGCUCUUCAAGCUUCCCUUCAAUCCAGUACGUUAUCUAAUCAAUUUUUGACUCGAUCCCCUUUCAUGGGUUCGCGUUAGAUUAAUUGAAUUCAGUCAAUCAUUCAUAUAUGAAAAACUCAAAACUUUAUAUUCAGACAUCUCUUGUGUUAAAAAUGGUGUCUUUAUAAAGCAUUCAUUUUUAAUUAUAUAGAUUGUGUUUCAACGGUGCCACUUCACAUUGUCUUGGUUGUGUCUAUUAGAUUAUGCUCCGGUUACAUCACCGGGAGACCAUUCUGAGAUUGUGUUUAUGGGUACUGGAACAAGUGAAGGGAUCCCUCACUAAUCCUCUCAAAACAUGUUCGGUAUUUUAUUUUUCUUCAUUGCUGACUUGUUCAUCUUUGAUUUCAAUGGGAUCUCAUUUGAAAAGGAAAUAAUCCAUUUUUGAUUCUGGUAGGUAUGCACCAAAAGCAACAGAACCUGGAAACAAGAACAGGAGACCUUAACACCAGCAUUCUUGUUCGGUACACUAGACCAUCCGGAACAAAGUAACAUCCUUAUUGGUUGUGGCAAGUAAGUGCAGUGACCUCACUGUUGUGUUUUGUGAGUGUUGAUUCCAUUUCUAGCUUGUGGAAAAUGCUUUCAUUACAAAAGAGAGGUUGAAUCCAUCCUUUUUUAAUAUUCCCUAAGUUUCCAAAUGUAUGAUGUUUAAGAGAAUUUUUGAUGUUUUAAAGAUGUUUUCAUAUUUCUAUGUAAUUUUUAACUUUAUUAAAAACUGCUAACCUAAGAUAUUGUGUAGUCUGUUUUAUAAUUGGUUAAAUAAUGUUAAAACUUAUAUUUUCUGAUACUUUUUUAGUUAAAAGUAAUUUUCUUAAUUGCAUCAUACACUUGGGAACAAGAGGAAUAUAAGAUAUUUGGUGAGAUUGAUCUUAGAGCAUAUGAUUUUUCAUUUUUUUUUUCUUGUGUGCUGACUUUCUCCUUCCAGCAUAGUGCACUUAAGUGGUUUCCCACCUUCGGGUUAGCUUUUUGCUUUUUUCCAUCAACCAGCAUUUACUUGUCAUCUGAUACUGCUUACACGAACUUAUUAUUGUUUGUUAUACUUUGGACAAAUAUUCUUAGUUGAGCGCCGUUACUUUCUGAUAGUUUUUAUAUCGUUGUUUCUCUAUGGCCAGUCUAAGAACACUUGAUGCGGUUGUAAUCACUCAUUCUCAUGCUGAUGCAAUUGGAGGUCUCUGAAACUUGACAAGUUAAAACCUUGCCACCAUCCAUCUUUUUCCUUUAUCCUGUAAAAGCUGUGUUCUUGAAAGCCUUCUGCUUCAUUGUUUAUGUUUUCUUCUCUGCAGGUCCUGAUGAUCUCCGUGAUUGGACAAACAAUGUGCAGCCUCACAUUCCAAUUUACACUGCUACGCGUGAUUUUGAGGUUAAUUAACUUGUUUUACAAACACACGUUACCCUUAUUAACUCUCUCACGUAGUUAAGACUCUCUACCAUGACAUGUGGAUCUCAGGUGAUGAAAAAAACCCAUUACUACCUGGUUGAUACGAGUGUGCAUAGCACUCAACAUAUGUUACUCAUUGCUUCGAUUCUUUUUUUUUUUUUUUUUUUUUUUUUGUGUUAUAACUCGAAGAUUUUCAGCAAGCAAAAGUGCAAAACCCACUAGUUAUUAGAGUAUCAAAUAUAUUUUUAUCGUAGUUAGUUAAUACUUCUAUAAUAAUAACUAAACAUAAUUGAAAUGGUAGAGAAUCCCAAAAAUUUAUCUUGACCCAUAUAGUGAAAUCAAUUCUAGUUGUUCAAAUGUAAUUCCACUUCUUCUCUUCACUCCAGGAUGUUUUGUAUCAUCUUUUGCAUCCUUGAUUCUUGAUUUCACAAUGCGGGUCAUUAGUCAACAAAUGUAUGUUCUUUUUGUUGUUAUAAUAUGUUUUCACAUAAUUUAGAUUUUUAACAAAAACAAUAAAAAAAAGCCCAAAACGCCCAAUAAACAAAAAGCCCACAGAUUUAACAGAAACAAUAAAAAAACAAAUUAAUGGACUUGUUUAGCAAGCUCACUCUCGACUUGUUCAGCAAGCUCACUCCCGACUUCUCUUCUCCAGCAGCUUCUCUUCUCCAGCGUGAGGAAACAUGGGUCUAGCUUCACGAGUUCUACUCAAGAUCAAGAGACGUCGUAAGAGACCCACCACGCCCCAAAGUUUCUCGCAACUUGGGUUUAGGGUCGUUGAAAUGAAGUCAGAUGGGCACUGCCUCUUCAGGGCUAUGUCGCACCAGAUGUACAGGCAUCAGCGUGGGCACCUAUCCUACCGAAAGGAGAUUGUGCACCAUAUUGAGGUAGAUCUUGGAAAUUUCUAUAUAAAAUUCUAUAAACAUGAUAAUCAUUCAUGUUAUAUUGUCAUAUAUGCACACAUAAACAUCAGGAGUUCUUCGAGCCCUUUGUCAUUACCCGCAAUGCUCUUGACCAGAUCACCGAAACCUUUGAGCAGUGCUGUAAAAGGAUGAAGAAAGAACCCAUCUAUUGGGGAGGAGAGCCGGAGCUGGUAGCAGCAUCUCGUAUCUUGCACCGCAUCAUUCGAGUCUAUAAUGUAUGUGUCACUUCUCAUAAGAUUCUAUAAUGUAUGUCUAUAAUGAUUGCAACAUCUCGUGUCUUGCACCGCACCAUAAGAAUCUAUAAUGAUAGUAGCAUCUCGUGUCUUGCACCGCACCAUAAAUAAUGUAUGUCACUUCUCAUUAUAGACUUUUUUGUUAUGCUAUCAUUAUAGACUCUGACUCUUUAUAAUAAUAACUAAACAUAAUUGAAAUGGUAGAGUAAGAGUUUAUAAUGAUAGCAUAACAAAAGAAUCUAUAAUGAUAAGUGACAUACAUUAUGGUGCGGUGCAAGACACGAGAUACUGCUAUCAUUAUAGACUCUUAUGGUGCGGUACAAGACACGAGAUGUUGCUAUCAUUAUAGACAUACAUUAUAGAAUCUUAUGAGAAGUGACACAUACAUUAUAUACUCGAAUGGUGCGGUGCAAGAUACGAGAUGCUGCUACCAACUCCGGCUCUCCUCCCCAAGAGGUGGGUUCUUUCUUCAUCCUUUUACAGUACUGCUCAAAGGUUUCGGUGAUCUGGUCAAGAGCAUUGCGGGUAAUGACAAAGGGCUCGAAGAACUCCUGAUGUUUCUGUAUGCAUAUAUGACAAUAUAACAUGAAUGAUUAUCCAGUUGAUAAAAUUUUAUAUAGAAAUUUCCAAGAUCUACCUCAAUGUGGUGCACAAUCUCCUUUUGAUAGGAUAGGUGCCCACGCUGAUGCUUGUACAUCUGGUGCGACAGGGCUCUGAAGAGGCAGUGCCCAUCUGACUUCAUUUCAACGACCUUGAACCCAAGUUGCGAAAAACUUCGGGGUCUGGUGGGUCUCUUACGACGUCUCUUGAUCUUGAGUAGAACUCGUGAAUCUAGACCCAUGUUUCCUCACGCUGGAGAAGUCGGGAGUGAGCUUGCUGAACAAGUCGGGAGUGAGCUUGCUGAACAAGUCCAUUAAUUUGUUUUUUUAUUGUUUUUGUUAAAUCUGUGGAUUUUUUGUUUAUUGGGCGUUUUGGGCUCUUUUUUAUUGUUUUUUUUUAAAUCUAAAUUAUGUGAAAACAUAUUAUAAUAACAAAAAGAACAUACAUUUGUUGACUAAUGGUCCGUAUUGUGAAAUCAAGGAUGCAAAAGAUGAUACAAAACAUCGUCGAGUGAAGAUAAGAAGUGGAAUUACAUUUUAACAACUAGAAUUGAUUUCACUUUAUGGAUCAAGAUAAAUUUUUGGGAUUCUCAACCAUUUCAAUUUUUUUAGUUAUUAUUAUAGACGUAUUAACUAUAAUAUAUUUGAUACUCUAAUAACCAGUGGGUUUUGCACUUUUGCUUGCUGAAAAUCUUCCAAUUAUAACACACAAAAAAAUAGAAUCGAAGCAAUGAGUAACAUUUGUUGAGUGCUAUGCACAUUUCGUGGAUUUUCCACGACAAAAUGAGAUAGCAAGCAUGCUAUGCACAUUUCACAGUUUAUAAUCAUUUACUUUAUAUAUUAACCGUUGACAACAAAUGUUAAAUGGUGACGAAAUACGUUUGCUACGACUGUCUAGUCUGUACUACUACAACCACAGUGAACGCAUUAGGUUCGUAAGCUUGUUAGUGUCCACCCUCAGUCACAUCCCACUUUUGGUAGCCUUUAAACUCAAAAGCGAGAUCUUUAACAUAUGCGAAGAUAACUUGAACAUUAUUAGUCCAUUGAUAUAUCCAAUGGCAGAUAGCUCUUUUGUAAAAAAAUGGAAUGUCCAAGUUGUUAGUUUUGACUUUUGAUUGGUUAAUGUCAUUUUGAUUUUCAAAAAUUUAUAAGUGGACAGGCAUAUUCUUGAGAAUAUACCAGUUUCAUUCCCUUCCACCUUUCUUGCCUCUCCUACCUGCUUCAAUCAUUUCGAUCUUAAUUUUACUUGGUCACUAGUUUUGACCUGGUUAGUUUCUCUCAUUUGACGGCCAGUGCAAGCAAGAUCCCAUCAAAAGAAAACAUACAUUAGCAUCAUUCUUGUAAACCCUAUAGUACUUGAAUAUUAGGGGUUCGGGUUUCUAAUAAAAUGGCUUAUUUAGCAAACUUGCAUUAAUAUGAAGAAGAAGGAGCCAGGAAAAGUCUAACAUAAUGGGACAACAAGCAUCCAAACAACUAACCUCUUUUUGGGAGCUGAUGUGUGAUGCGCCGCGUGAUAUAUGCAACAAGUAGAAGUGAAAAAAAGAAGUGUACAAGAAGUAAUUCAAGUAUGUAUUAUAUCAUGGUCUAAUCAUGAUAUAUUCUUUCUGACACAUGUAAUUAUCAGUUGUUAUUUAAAAAUUAUGAUUAUUUCAAAUUAUUCAUAUGGGUUACAUAAUCCCGACGCUAGGUAUUCCUCAGAUUCAACAUAAACUAAUUCAAAAAAGUUGAAGUUUAAUCCCACCUGUUUGUCAAAUUUUCAACCACCAGUUCGAGCACUACGGUCUAAUGAUAAAUUCUAUGUAUAUUUAUCAAAAACUUUUUACGGACGUCAAUUAAAAUAAAUCAAUCAUAAUGAUAAAAUGAAUGACCAUAUAACAAUAUUACUUUAAUUUGAGUUUCAUUAAUUUGCUAGUACCUGAUAAUAAAUCUUCUAAGUUUUAUACCAGGUUAAAGAAAUAUGAGGUUUAUAUCCUUCAACCAAGUGUAUAUGUUUGUUUAUAAAACUUGGUAGGAAUGAAUCAUGAAGUUUAUUUUCAGUUCCACAGCCCAUUUCAAAAUGUUUUCAAGCUUCUAAUGGUAUUUUUGUCUCAUUUUCCGCCAAUCUAAAAAAUGAAAAGUUGGUCCUUCUACCAAAUAUGCUGUCCAAAAAAACUUGGUAGGAAUCAUGAAGGUUUAUUCUCACUUAAACAUUCCUUCUCAUUUUUCUUAAAAAAAUGCUUCUAGUGACAGUUUGUCUCACUUUCUCUAAAUUUCGUUUGGUCUUAAACUCGAUUACCUAUGAUUAAUUUAGGGUAAUAUGCCGAUUAUAAUUCCAUUUAAAUAAAGAAAAGCACAUGAUAAAAAAUAUAGCUACAAAGAGUAGGAAAAUGUUAUAGAAUUGAUUAACUAACUAAUGAUGGUAUAAACACGAAAACGAUCUAAGCGGCAGAAAGUGCACACUUCUCUCGGGUUCUUUUGUUUAACUUGCAAUAGUUAUAAUUAUUUAAUUACUGUGGAAUAUACUUUUAAGUCAGGAUCUUAUAUCCAGCAGCAAUACUUAAAUCCUAAGAUAUUAUAUGUUUAAAGCAGGAAAGAUAGUGAAAUAGCAGAAGAAAAAAUGUUCUCAAGAAUCUGGAAGCUCGACCUCGUCUCUUUUUUUCUUUAGAAAUUAAAACAACCUUCAUUGAAUUUUAAACUUUUAAACAUUUGAAUAGAGGGAGAGUUAUUCAGAACUCUACGAGCAUUAAACAUUGAAACAUAAAAAAUAAGAAUACAGAAAAUUCUAAAAUAAGGUGACAGCAAAUUCAGAGCAAGACUUGAAUGCAUCGAAACAAGGUUUAUGGCAAAACCACGGACUUGAGAAAUAGUCAUUUUGGGUUGUGAUGUUCAUACUAAAUCGGCACCUCAAAAAAUCGUCAAGACGAGAUCCAUUGCAUAUUGAAAUUCUUUCUUUGACUGUUAUGAAGCUGUUGCUUAGAUAUGUUUAUAAUCAAAAGAUUGAGAAUGGUAAUUUUACCAUAGGUUAUACUAUUCAAUUAGAAAAUUCAAAAACCAAAGAAUAUAUUCUAAGUCAAGCUUCUAAUUUAAGAAAUGCUAAUGGUGAAUUUCAACCAAGUUUAGGUUUAUACACAACAUUGGUGAAUUUGAUGCUGAUUCAAGCUGAAAAAUAUGAAGAUUUAGAUAUCUAUGUCGAGAGCUGUUUAUAAUAGAUUGCCCAGUAACAUAUACAAACUCAGAAGGGGAUGUUGAGUUAUAAUCAUUGUCUUUGCCAGCUAUGUGGGAACACUUGAAUCACUCAAUCAUCUACUAUUCCAAUGGAUAGUUGCAAAAGAAGUAUGUACACUGGCACCACUCGGAAACCAACCAAGUUGGCUGGCUGAUUACUCUCAACCUUUGCAGCAAUAUUUGAGCUGGUUGCUAUCAGUAACUUCCUCCUCACCAUUAAUUGAUGACUUGGCCCUUCUUUACUGAAUGGCAAAUUUGGAAAAUAAGGAGCUUAAUCCUCCCAAAUCAUUGAGAAUUCAUCUCGCAAGUGAUUGAUAUUAUCAAUCAAAAACUUGGGAUUGAUAUAAAGCCAAAACAUGGGAGGAGUGACAUCAAAUUCAAGAUACAAAUAUAAACGGUAAUGCAAACAACUACGACUGUAUAUAUUGUAGAUGCAUCGUGGUCUUCAUCAAAAAGACUGAGCAGGCAUAGGAUGUGCACUAUAUCGGAAAGACUACAAGUCAUUAAAGCAAGUACAUAUAUUGAUCCGAUUGUUGGAAGCCCUACUUAUCAUAACCGUCAAAGAAGUACAUAAAUUGUUUUUUUGAUGAAGUUAUGUUCGUUGGUGAUUUGGUCCUCUUCAAUUAGCUUAAUAAUGCCUUUCUAGAAGUAAAAAAAUGGGAUUUGGUUGGACCACUCGGCUACUACAAUCACCAUUUCCAGGACACAAUUUAAGGCAGUAUAUCCCUCUAAGCCUUCUUGUUUUUAGAUAAACAGGUUUUGCGAAUUAUUGUUUCUGAAGUUACUUUCUUACUACAAUGGCAAAAAGUAUAUUGUAUCUUAGAAUACUUUGUAUCUUAGAAGUUAGAACUGAUCCUGAGUGUAAAUUGUUUCAUAAUACAAUAUGCAGCUAGCCGACAAAGAAAAAAGUAGUAUGCAACGAUGAAACAAAGAAAAAGCAAUCAUCCACUCGAACUGUAUUACUAAAUCUAGCCUAAUAACACAACAAGUUAAUCAGAGUUAAACACAUGAACAAUGAUUCAUACCAUAUACUAACAAAAAAAAUCAGAAUUUUUUUCAAAGCUACCAACUUUUUUUGUUUUUGUUUUUAAAACACAAAAUACAUAGAACAUUUACAUCUUGGAUUUAGAAAAUGAUAUGAAUACAGUGAACAAUCGGUAUGCAGAAUUCGAGAAGUUGGAACACACAAGUGUUAGGUGUCUCUGUUGAUAGUGUGGUAAGUAAAACUCUACAAGUUUACAACUAUUCUUAUCUUGUUUGCAAAAUUGCUUUGACUCAUCCCUACUUGUUGUGUUGAUGUCCGUCCACAUAGUUCUCCCACCUUGCGUGGGUUCAAACAGACAGAAAAUCUGGAGGACUUGGUGAUCUCAACUACCCCCUUGUAUCAGAUGUCACUAAAUCAAUCUCAAAAUCUUUUGGAGUGCUCAUCCCUGACCAGGUAAAAACUUUUAUUGUUUUAACUUCCCUAAAUCUGUUUGGGAAUCAACAAAGAUACAUACCUUUUGUGUGUAAGAAAAAGAGGGAAUAGCGUUGAGAGGGCUUUUCAUAAUAGACAAGGAAGGAGUGAUCCAACAUUCAACCAUCAACAAUCUUGGUAUUGGCCGAAGUGUUGAUGAGACAAUGAGAACCCUUCAGGUAUAAUAAAUACUCUCAAGUUCAAAACCUGUUCUUUUUUUAUAUUUGAUUACUGUUUGUGUGAUGCAUAUUAUAUUCUCGAUGUUGCAGGCAUUACAGUACAUCCAGGAGAACCCUGAUGAAGUCUGCCCUGCAGGAUGGAAACCAGGGGAGAAGUCAAUGAAACCUGACCCCAAGCUCAGCAAAGAGUAUUUCUCAGCUAUUUAGAAAUAUCUACAAACCCUUUGUUAUAUGUGAGCUGAGUG
rnacentral:lncRNA from 1 species